rnacentral:lncRNA from 1 species
UACGGGGGACUAACAUUCGUGACUCAAUUUUCCCUUUUUAAUAGAGGGAAUACGAGCGUGCUAAGGCUAGAAAGCCAAACUCGUCCAUAUCCCAUAUUCAAGGGGUGUACCUAUCUAAUCAAGCAAAUGAUCUAACCUAAUUCUAAUGCUUAGAUGAAAUGCAAGUCUAAUGUCAUGUUUCAUACAAAUGGGGGCAAGUAAUGUACAUAUAAGGGAAAAUAUAGAGGAAGGGAUAUACAUAUAUAAGGGAAGUGUCAUGCAAUAUGGUAAAAGGCCCUAGAAAAUAAAGAUAUGCAUGAGAUGAAGUGAUGUUAUCACACAAUCAUGAUCUAACGUGCGGAUGGUUCCUAAGGGGCUAGCGUUGGACUAGCCCUUAUUUCUAUUUUCUCACUAGCAUUGGACUAGUGAGAAAUCGGACAAUAGGAACCACAACUAGCGUUGGACUAGUGUGGUAUCGAAACAGGAAUCACAGAUAGCAUUAGACUAGCAUGAUAAUAUGCAUUUAUUACAGUCUAAGAAAUUAGAUAAAGCAUAAUAAAGCAAAUAAACACAUAAAUCACAUAAAAUACAUAGCACAUAGGCAUGAUAUCUAGAUGCAAGACCCUAUGAAAGCGGUAACACAUAGCACAUAGACAUGCAAACCACACAAACAAAAAAUAAAGCGAAUAUAAACCCUAACUAUUACAUUUGAGGGGGCUUACUACAAUCUAAAGGGGGAAAUGAAAUAAAAUAAUUAAAAUAAAUACCUAACUAUUACAACUUGGCAUUUAAAUGCCUUUCAAAUAAUUGAUUAGAAUAAACGCACAAAAUUAAUGUAAAUGAAAUAACUAAAGAAAUAAAUAAAUGAAAAAAAUAAAAUAUUCAAAGUCAUGCAACGACACAUAAAAAAAACACAUAAAAACACAUAGGAUCAAGUAAAAAUAAAAAAAUAAGGGAUAGAGUGUACCUCCCUUGAAUUGGGGUCCUAAUGGAGUGAAAUUACUUAUUUACCCUCCAAAACAAUAAAAAUGAUCAAGGCAUCACUUUAAUUAACAAUUAAUUACAUGAAAUUAAACACGAAAUGAAAACUAAACACGAAAUGGAGUUACUUAGGGUAUUUACGCAAAAUAAACCAUCCAUAUGCAAGAAAUUAAAGCAAAUAAGGUCCUAAAUAAAAUAAUUAAAAAGUUUUAAGGGUCUAAAAUAAAAUACCAAAAUUGAUGGCUUAAGAUGAGACCUAUCAAAAUCAAAUGCUAAAAUUCACGAAAAUAAAACAAAAAAUCACUUGUUACAAUUAAACAACAAAAUACUCAAAAAUUUCACUAAGAAAAACCCAAAUCAAAAUCAUAAAUCCCUCAAAAACGAUUAAACCUCAAAAUUUCAUUCUAAAAUUCAUGGAUAAUCUGUCCAAGAACCACAUUAAAACAUAUCAAUCAAGAACAACAUUUUUAUGGGACCCAAUUAAUUAGUCUUCCCAAUUUUUCAAGCCAUAGUAGAACAAAAAAAGACUUGGGGGGGGGGGGGGUUAAGAGGCAAUUUUUUGAAAGUUUUUCAUGCAAUCUUCGUGCAAAGUACGAAGAAGCUUUCUGCAAUUUCCUUUGCUGCUUUCUUUCAAUUUAGCCGAGCUAUGUUCGUGCGCAAGAGCUCGAGCAGGCUUCUACUAGUUUAACAAUCAAACCCAAAUGCAAUAACCUCAAACUCGAGCUAUUAACCUCACCCAAAACAUGAUUGCCCAUUCCUAACCGAUCCAACAUGUGACUGAAUAUGAAAAAUGCAACAGAUACAUAAAGACAGACACUUGCUGUAAACUUAUGCAUGGUACAACAAUCAAACAGGCAAGCUACAGACUAACAGCUUCAGCAAACCUAAAAGCGGAAUGACUCUAUCAACGUGUCUACAACCAACCAAGAUUAUGCAACUCUUAUGUUUAAACACACAAUUCAGAGAAAAAGAACAUGCAAGAAUCUGGAAAAUAUUCUGCACUUUCUUUCGGCAAUUUGAGGAGUAAUCGCCAACUAAAGGAGGCUAGAAAUGAUUCCUAUAUUCUGGGUUUCAUGAGCUAUAACAACACUUUAUCUAAACUCAAAGAUAUAGAGCCAAAUUGAGUUACCAAACGAGUUUCUCCAAAGCACCAGAGAUGAAACCACAAAGAAAGUAAACGAAAGCAUGCGUGCAUAAAAAAGAAAUUCAUGCGAUGAACCCAGAUCUUCAUAAAAUGGUAUGAAAAUGACAGCAAGAAAGGCUAGAGUCACCUGCAAACGUCGGUGAAGUAAAUCAAACGUGAAAACUCAGGAAAGUGACGCUGGUUUCUGGAAAAACAACGCCCAGGCAGAUUUGUUGCAGCGGCAGCAGCAUUGGAGAAUCCGUGACAAAAUAACCACUAUCGAGACCAGGAUUUAGGAAAGAAGUGGGCUGAAUCGUCAGCCUGAUGGAAAAAGAUUCACUGCAGACAAUCUUCCUACCCUCGUUUUUUCUUUUCCUUUGCUGUUUCCUUCCUUUCAGAUCUCUCUCUACCGCCCCUUUACUUCCCCAGAUCUUCUUCGAAACCCUUCUCCCUUUUUCACAGUAAAAGCUCCUCUUUUCUUCCCUUAUUCCCUCUCUUUCUUAGUUUCUUUUUUUCUCCAAGCCUUUCUCACCCCAUCUCCUCAACUCUCUCUAGCCGUCGUUAACCUCCCUCAGCUCUUUCUUUUUUUUCCUGUUUUUUCUUAUCCAGCACAGCCGUCCACCCUCCAAACCUCCACGAAGCUUCCCCUCUGUUUUCCUUUUCCUUUGCUUUUUCCUACCUCAGCCCAGCCGCCCACUCUCCUCAGCUCCUCUUUUCUUGUUUUUUCUCUCCAGCCGCCAAUUUCAUCCGACUUCCUCCCCUUUCUUGGCUGCGGCUACUCCUUUUAUAGGAAUCCCUAAGUCCCUAAAACCCUCACCUCAAAAGUGAGGAUGAAGGGUAGAUUAUUACCAAAGAUCUGAGCCAUUGGAUGGCAUUUUUUGGAUAAGAUUGGGAUCAAAGAAACCGCUGCAAAUUUUGUUCUUUUCCGUUUCAUGCUUCUGCCUUGAAAUGGAAUAUUGAGAAGGAGCUUGGAUCCAGUGCAGCAUGGUGCAUGAGCUCUUUUUUUUUUUUUAUUUAAACAAAAUAAACAACAAACCUUCAUAAAUUGAAUCCAAAAAUUUAAAGAAUAUUUUUUGUGAGCAAUUUUUUUUUUUUCUAAAAGUCUUAAAAUAAAAUUAACAAAUAAAACUAAAUUAAAAGAUUUGAUGUCCAAAAUGCUAAAAAAUGUCUAAGAUGAAAUUUUGAGAUAAAUUAAAACAAAAAUAGAGUAAAAAUUUGGUGUCUACAAUAAAAGUACAUUUUUAUUUUCAAAAGCUAAAAUAGACUUUUGACCUAUUUCAAGUGUUUCGUAGAUAUUACCUUAAAUACGCACCACUUGAAAAUUCACCAAAGGAAUGUCUGUAUGGCUUUCUUGGAGAAUAAUACCUUUAAAACCUAUAUUUUCAAUACAUUCUCAAGAGGGGUAAAAAAUGAGUCAUUAAAACUCACCUCUUGAGGUUCAAGGUUAGCUUCAAAGGUAUUAUCAUAUGAAAUGGACAUUUUCUCAUUGAAACACAAUUAAUAUUCAUCAUUUUGAUCAAAAAAAAUCCAAUUUCACUUGCAACAUGCUCACCAUUCAUGCUAGGGUCAUAGUGCAUAUCAUUAGAAGAAAUAACUUCACACAACUCAUGCAAUUGGUUUUGUAUUCUAUCAAAGUGAGAAGCUAAUUAAUUUAACAUUUCCUCAAUCUUAGCAAAACGGUCAAAAAUUGCAUUAGCUAGCUUUUCUAUAGCUAAAUCCCAAGAUGAUUUAGAAUCGUUAGUUAACCUUUCUUUUGUCAAUUCUUAAGAUGGUUUUAAUUCAUAUUGCACACAUUCAGGUUGGUAGUCAUAAAAACAUGGAGAAUCACUAUUAAUACAUCGAUUAUCCCAACCAUAAGUAGAAAAAUUAUCUCAAUUAGCACCAUAUUGAACAAAACAAGGAUUGUAAUCCCCUAAUUCAUCAUAAUAAUCCACAGUUUGUGCUUGCAUAUAUGUAUUAGUAGCAUGAUAAUCUCCACACAAAUCACAAAUCACAUGAUAAGAAUUAAAAACAUUAACAUUUCUCUUUCGUUCAAUCUCAUGCAUAAUAGUGUUCAAUUGAACUUGUAACAUUAUAUCAUCAAGUUUAAAUUUAUAACAUCCUAAAUAUACCACAAGCGAUUUUUUUGCAAGUACACAAGUCGAGAUCGAGUAUAGGGUAUUAAGGGUCAAACCUACAGGGAAGAUUUUCAGUUACCGAUGAUUUUCGAACUCCUUUAGUAUUUAGACUAUCACAAGUGUAAAAAAUUAACUUUACACUAUAAACAUAGAGUAAAAGUAAUAAAAAUAAUACUAAAAGACUCUUAGAGGUAUGGAAUUUCUUACUACUCUUGUAAAUUAAGUUAGUAGUUUAGUGAAUGUUAUUAUCUUGGCUAGUCAUGGCGUAAUUUUCUAAUGUAUGUGAAAUCUACUCUCGUAAUGAAUCAACUAUACUUGUAAUUAAGUCAUAUCUACUCUCAUGGUUAUGAAAUUAACUACAAGUUCAUUUCUUCUAUGAAAUUACAUUAAACAAGUCAUUAAAGCCACAAAGAUGUUCCUCUACUCUCGUGAGUGAACUCCCUAGGUUUAUCAAUUUCUUGAACAAGUGUUAAAUUUCAAUUCUCAUUGCAAACUUAACACCUUAAGAUUGUCACAAUUAAUAGCCAGUUAAUCAUGAUUAGAAAGCAAAACUGAUAAAUAACUUGCUCAAAAUAAUAUCAUCAAAUAACCAAGUAAACAUCACUAACAAGUUAUAGAAAAUUCAUCCAUUCUCUAGGCAUAAACUUUAACUAAACAUAAAGAACAAGAUCCAAACUUGUAUUAUAGUUAAAUAUAAACUUAAAUACAAAAGAGAAAGUGAUAGGAGAGAAGUCACCCCUGUCACAUGAGCUCCAACUCUUCAUCUUUAUUCUUCAAAUCUUCAUCCAAAUUUAACUACAAAUACAAGAAGGAAAAGCUACACUAACUUUACUAUAUUACUCAAACUAAUGAACUAAGGAAAUUCUAAUGAAAACUACAUUUUUGGUGAGUUUCUCUAGCCUUCAAAAGUUGUGAAAAUGGUCUUCAAAGGCUGCUAUUUAUAAAGAAUUCAAACUCAAGGUGAGUUGUUUCUUGGAUGGCAAAGUUGGCUUUUGAAUUCACCAAGAGUUGUUCUCCAAGUUUCCACACUCUUCUUGGUCAAAUACAACCAAAUUUGCUCACUGGGAUUGAGUUGGAAAGUUGUGUGAACAAAGAAUAAGUUGCAAAGCAAGUUGCAGCUAAAAAUGAUGAAUAUGCGAUCUCGAAAAUGCGACCUUGGGUCACGUAUUGUCUACCCACUUAUUGCUUUUGCAUGUUUGCACUUUCUGGGUAGAAUUCAUCCUUACUUUGUUUUUUGUCCAACUUCAAUAGAUAUUUUCUUGUUGUUAGAGGCUGAACUACUCUUAUGUAAAAUAUGAAAGUUGUAACCCUUUGAGUUAGUUUUCCAAUGCAUCUAGAAUUAUCCAAUUUGGAGCUCUAUGGACUGAUAAAUGACCAACAUACCCUCUAUUGGUCAAAACUCUAUUUCAACUUUCGACAUAAUAUUUUGACUAAGAAAACUCAUGAACUAGAUUUUGAUGUCUUAUAAAAAAUGUAGAUCUAUCUAUUAGCUUCAAAAUGGUACAAGAAUCACUUCAAUCCGAUACUUGUAAUUCAAGAUAUAGCUGAAAUAUCACAAUGUGUUAAAGCUAUGAAACAUUUCUUUUUUUGUUCUCGAUUGCAUUUCUUGUCUUGCACUUCAUAUUCUCUUUUUAUCAGUUUAAACCAUCACCAAUCAUUCAAUUAUCUUCUCAAAUCACUCCAUUUGAUGAUUGAAUCAUUAAACAUACAAAAACAUGAAGUUUUCACUAUUAAAAUCCAUAGAAAUGCAAUUUUCACACUUUAAACCAUAAAAUGCAUAUUUUCACUAAAAACCUAGUUAAUUAGUUAUAAACUAAAUAAAACACACUAAAAAUAACUAAUAAAAUACACUUAAAAUAUGUAAAAUAUAUACUUAUCAUAUAACAUUCUAAAUAUCCACAUGCAAUUUUUCGCAAGUAUACGAGUUGAGAGUGAGUAUAAGGUAUUAAGGGUCGAACACACAGAGAAAAUUAUCAAUUAUCGGUGGUUUAUGAACUUCUUUAUUAUUUAAACUAUCACAAGUACAAGAAAUUAAAUCUACACUAUAAAUAUGAGAUAAAAAUAAAAAAAAAUAAUAACAUAAAGCUCCUAGAGAUAUGAAAUUCUUUACUACUCUUGCAAAUGAAAUUACCGAUUAAGUGAACACUGUUAUUUUGGCUAGUUAUGGCGUAAUUUCAUAUUGUAUGUGAAACCUACUCUCGUAAUAAAUCAACUACACUUGUAACUAAGUCAUGCCUACUCUCGUGGUUACAAAAUUAACUACAAGUUUAUUUCUUCCAUGAAAUUAUAUGAAACAAGUCACUAAAGCCACAUAAGUGCACAUGUACUCUUGUAAGCGAACUCCUUAGGUUUAAUACUUCCUUGAAUUAGUAUUAAAUUCCAAUUUUCAUUGCAAAUUCAACACCUUAAAAUUAUCACGACUAAUGAUCAGUUAAUCAUGAUUAGAAAAGCGAAAGUGAUAAGUAACUUGUUCAAAAUAAUAUCAACAAAUAACCAAGUAAAUAUCACUCACAAGCUAUAGAAAGUUCAUCCGUAACUCGAGGCAUAAACUUUAACUUAACAUGAAGAACAAACACCAGACUUGUAUUAUAGCUAAACAUGAAUUCAAAUACAAAAGAGAAAGUGAUAGGAGAAAAGUUACCCUAGUCACAUGAGAUCCAACUCUCCAUUUUUGUUUCUCAAAUCUUCAUCCAAAUCUAGCAACAAAUACAAGAAGGAUAAACUACACUAACUAUACUAAUCUACCCUAACUAAUGAACUAAAAAAACUAGUGAAGACUACAUAUUUGUGGUGUUUCUCUAGCUUUCCAAAGUUGUCGUACAAGCCCUCCAAUGGCCUUAUUAAUAAAGGAAUUCAAGCAAAAGACAAAGUGUUAAAUCCUGUUAAGAUUCCCCUUAAGCUAAUAAAUAAGUUAGAUUUGAGUUGUAAAGCUUAUUUGGCAGCUGUCCUGGUCAGUUUCCAAUGAAAUUCUUGCAGAAAAAUGGGUCAAAAAGCUUAUGUGAACAAAGUACAAGUUGCAGAGCAAGUUGUAGCUGAAAUUGAGGAAUAAGUGACCUUGAAAAUGCGACCAGAGAUCACGUAUUAUACCCACGUUUUGCUCUUUUAUAGGUUUGCUCAUCUUUGGACAAGUCUUCUCUUUGCUCUAUUUUUGGUCCAAUUUCAAUUGAUAUUUUCUUGAUGAUGGAGGCUGAACUAACUCUUGUACAAAACAUGAAAGUUUUAUCCCUUUGAGUUAGUUUUCAAUGCAUCAAGAAUCAUCAAUUUGGAGCUCUGUAGACUGAUAAAUGACCAACAUACCCCCAAACGUCUACUUCUUCCCCCUUUUAUUCGUAAGUCUUUCCCCUACUAAUAAGGAAAGGAUUCCUUUUCCUUUCUAGCUUCCUACUUAAAAUAAACUAACCAAUAAAACAUCUCAAUUCGUUUUCAAAAUAAACUACAUCAAAUCAUAACCAAUUUCGUGACUAAUAUGGACAACCAAGAGACGUAGUUGACUUCUCAAUUAAACUACAUAUUCAUCUUGCAUCGCGUGAACUCUGGAUUUCACAGUAGAAUAAGAUGUGGUCAUGCCUUAUAGAAUGUAGCCUUCUGGAAAUUUAGCUUUUAAUGCCCUUUUACUCCCUUUUCACAGCAAUUUCCUAGAAGUAACAUCAAAAAUAAAAAAUCAAUAGAAUAUAGCAAUCAACGCCAUAUUUUAGCAAAAUAAAGGGGAAAUUAUUCAUAAAUUAUAUGCAAAAUUAGCAACUUAACAAAUCUCUUUCGAGCCACUGCUUUUCUAGUUUACAUUGCAUAGAGAAGAUGUUAAAGCUAUUAUCUUUGUAGUCUCCUGAGCUGGCUAGAUGAUACUUGAAUCUUAUAUAAUGAUUCAAUUGUUUUAUACUGGUAAGGUUCAUGCUAUGUCUAGGGAUCAUAAAAGGAACUUAGAGGAGCUCUGCAAGAUUAAGUUUGCUCCCCAGUAGGGGGUAUACAUGGUAUAAUAGAAUUUUUUUUACUACUAAUUUUAAUUUUUUUGGGUUUUUUUGUUAAUUUUUUUUGUUUCAUUUACAGGAUUGUAGGUGCAAGGUUGCACAUAAUGACACAGGACAUUGCACUAUCUAGUACUUUGAGUAUUGGCAUCGAGUGGAUCAUGAGCUCCAUUUUUUUAAAAAUUGUUUACAAUUUGAUCUUUUUGAGUUUUUCUUUUGACUAAUUACAUUUUUCUUUGUUAUGUAGGUUUCAAGGAGGCUAUUCCAACUGUUGAAGUAGACUUUGUGUUCUAGCUUUUUUUAAUUAGAUAUGUUAACUACUAUAAAGUAGGAGUUUGCAAUUAAGAAAAUAUUGGAUUUGAUUGAGAUGCUCCAAUUAUUCAGGCUCUGGUUGGACCAUUUCUUUGCUAGCAAUGUGGUAAUUUUGAUUGAGAGAAAUUUCAAUCCUAUAUUGUAAAUGAGAAAGAAAAAGUCCCAGCAAAUCCUAGAGAUUUCUCGCAAUUUGAAGAUUCCAAAGACCACAGUUGCGUCGGAUAUCCUACAUAAACAUUUACAAUAAUGACUUAUUAUGAAUUUGUCAGUUUAUACACACCUCUAUUAUAAAAUCUUGAAUAUCAAUCCCUUUCUUCAAUUUGUGAAACAAUCCGAUUCCAACGAUAUUAUUUUAGAUAGAAAGAGAAAGGCAGAGUCUUGACAAAGAAAACCUCCUUGUUAAUACCAUUCGGAUGCAUAAACAAGUAUAUUUAAAAGGGUUAAUAAAAAACAAAAUUCAAACAGCUUACUUAACAAGAUAUGUAAAGUUUCUUUUCUGAGAUUGAUUCAAAGGAAUCCCUUGUUCUUUUGAGUACCUAAAUCAAGAGAUCGUAAUAUAUGCAAGUCAAGUAUACGAGAUAACAGGAAAUUCUUAACUCAUAGAGGAUAUGCAAAAUAUUUUAGGAUUUCGUUGAAUAUACUCUGGCUUAUCCAAUAUCAAGGAUUUGUCAUUAGCAAAACCCGAUGGUCAAAGUAGUGUAACCCAAGUUUCAAGUUAAUAUCUUUUAGCAGCUAAGGGGAAAAGACAACUCCAACAUAUUCUUCAUCGCAGUUUCAUGGUGCCUCUCUUCUUUAGGAUUGGCCGCCAAAGAACAAGAAAUCUGAAAAAAGUAACUAAAUGAUAAGGCACUUCAAAAUAAAGACAAGCUCGAAUCCUCAAAUCGACAUUCGUUCCCUCACCAUGGAAGGAUACAAAAGACUAGGCAAGAUAAUGAAGAAGGGUGUGACUGAAAAUCCAGUGAGCAACUUCUUUCGAGUAAAAAUUCAAAUAAAGACAACUGCACUAAAGAUGGGUUCUAUAAUCUUCUAAAAACAUGACGCAAAAACCUUAGUUGUUUUCUUUUGAAUGCUACAACAUUUAGUCCUUUAGCUGUUGAUAACGAAUAUAACUGAAGUGAAUGAAAGGAUCCUUCGUAACCAUUAAUGUAUAACCACAUAAAUAGCACGACCACUAAUACUAUUAGCAAGAAAGCUACCCAAUGAGGAAAUAAAAUAAAUAAAUCCAAAUUAAUAUCCAGGGAGAUAAUGUGGCUCGUUGGAAAAUAAAGGUAAACUACUAAUAAUUCCCUUGUGGUUUUAUCAAUUGCCACAUAACCCCUCUAACAUUCCAAAAUAUUCAUUUCACCCCCUAUAGUUUCAUAUGAAUUAGAAAUUUAACAAAAGAAUAACUUAUGUAACGUUGUUACUUAAAUACCACUAGUGCUCUUAUUUAAAUGCUAAAUCAAAUGAUGACUUAGCCACUUUGUAUAAAACUAUAGAGGCAUUAUGUGGAUAAUUGUAAAAAUUACGGGGGAUAAAAUAGAUAUUUAUGCAAAUUAUAGGGAGGUAAGUGGAUAUUAUGAUUUCAUCACAUGCACUUUUAGAGCUCAUAUGGUCUUAUUGCCGUAAUUGAUUAUGUAUUCUAUUCAUUUUCCACUUCACAUAAAAUUACAAGGAGUUAUGUGUCCAUUUCAAAACUUUAAGGGUAUCAUUUGAUGUUAUGCAAAACCAUAAGGGGUUAUAUGUAAUUUUCCAAAAAAUAAUUGAUGUAUUUGCUUAAUCUCUCAUUCGCCAAUGAAUCAUGCUCUCGCAGGCAUUUUUGUCGUGUAAUCGACUUGGAUAAAUGGCCUCUUUUCCUUAAGAAUUCUCAAUUCCCCAAACGAUCGAUUUAUUUGCUUAAUAUCUCUCCUUCGCCCGUGAAUCAUUCUUGCCAAUUGGAAAUUAUUGUGUCUUGUAAAAAAGGCAAGAAAAGAAUACAAGAAACUUCGUCAAAUAGUUAUCUGGUCCCUUUCUCCUGUAUCCGAAGAAGCAUAUGUUUAUAUUUAUAAAAUUACUGUGACGCCCUGAAAAGAAUAAGUGUGAGAACCCGAAAAUUUUCUAAUUUUCUAGGGUUUAUUUUAUUUAAUCGCCCGCCUUUUCUACAUUUUCUUUAUUAGAAAAAUUCCCCAAAUAAAGUUUAUGAGCAAAAAUAGUUUUAAAAUGAUUUUUCUAGUAUCGGUUAGUUUUUGAAAAAUUAAGAGCGUAUUUUGGACGUGGGACCCGCUAGUGCGGUAAAUGCAUUAUAUUUUUGACAACUUGUUGAAAUUUUGUAUUAAGUGAUAGUAGUUUACAAUGUGUUAAGAUAUUUGUAUUGGAGAGACAAAAAGAUAAGUUUUAAGCCAAAAGGUGACAAGUGUCACCAUAAGAUUUAGUCUUGAGUUUGACUACUAUUCAUAACUUUACCAUUUAAUUAAAAUUGGCCAAAAAUCUCUUCAUUUCUUCCUCUCUUGGCCGAAUUUAUUGGAGAGCAAAAGAAAGAAAAGAUAUCAAUUUCUUCCUUCUAUUUCUUGCUCAAUCUUCAAAUCCAACCAAUGAAACUCCAAAUCAUUCCAUAAAAUCUCUUUGCUAAGUGGUCUUGAGGUGUUUUGUGGAGUUGUUUGGAAAGUUAAGGUGACUAGUUGCUCUAUCUCUUGUAUUGCUAAGGUGAGUGGUGAAGGAUCCCUCUCCUUCCUCUAAUGAUGCUAAAAUUAUGCGUAGUGGUGGUAUAAGAUGCAAUUUUAUGGAUUAUAUCUUGAUUUUUGGUUGAAGUGAUGAAGUUUUAUUAUUUUUGGGGAUUUUUCUGUUUUAAUAUAAGCAUGAUUGUGUGGCUAUCUAUGAUGAUUGGAAAUGGUAUAUAAUGACUCUAGGAGGUGGAAAAAGUGAGUAAUUGCAACCAAUUUCUGGUUUGGAAGAAAUUUCAGAAAAUUAGGUUUUGUGAAGGAACAUUCUGCCCGAAUUUAUAGCUCAUAGAUAGAGGCCGAAUUGGCCUUUUCUUAAAACAUGAAAGUUGUAGGGAAUGAUAUUUUAAAGGUUCCUACAAAAUUUCAGGUCAAUCGGAGUAGUGUGGAAUGAGAAAAGUCGAAAUUACUAUUGCUGUUCUGGUUUUACCCGAAUGUAAGAAUUGCGCCUGUAAUUGGUUGUUUUGGUCAGGAUUGCUUCCGAAUUGGUUGUUGAGGUCUUCUGAUGACAUGUACCCCUAUUUCUUAGCUUUCAUCUGGUUUUGGAAUUUCUGGAUUUGGACUUGGAUAGCCUGAUUUAUGAUGUUUCCGCUAGAAUCCGUUCUGUGAAUCUGUUUUUGCGGUUCUGGUAUAGUAGAUUGCAUUUUUGACAUAGUUACACUCGAAACUGGGUUGAGUGACCUUCUGGAAUAUUGUAACGCUAUCUCUUAGCUUCGAAACGGUGGGUCUUGCACCUUCAUCCGACCAUCGUAGUGCCUUUGACACCAUUACCGUAAAAUGACGUCAAAACCUGUUUUUCUGGUUUUGAGUUAACUUUCAUUUCCGGACUUUUCCCUAGCUUGACUUGUACUAGUACUACUUGGAGCUUGCUGAAUGGCUAUUGGAUGAACUUGUUGUUGUGUGUACCUUUGGGUUUGAAUGAGAAAAAUAAUGAAGCCAUGAUGGCUGGAAAAGUUAGUAAAUUCAAGGGAAGUGCUGUCCGAACUUUGAAGGGACUUGUUUGCAUUGAGUUUGUGAUCUAAGACUUGGAUUUGAGCAAGACAAUGAUACAUGAUGGAUGGUUUCUGAGCCGUGGAGGUGAGUGACCUCAACUAUUUCUAAGGUUAUUUAUGAACCGUUUCCUGCAUUAUUUACUCGAUUGCAUCUCAUGCGUGCUUGCAUGUGAAUUCAUGAUACGAUUUUGGCUUCAAUGAGUUUUUGGGGAGUCUUGUGCUGGACACCAACGUCUCCACCUCUGUUCACUUGGAGCUCAAAAAGGGGCAUUCAUGGCUUGUGAAUAUUUGAGAGCAUUUAUUGCUUGAACCAGAGCAUUUAUUGCUUGAACUAGAGCAUUUAUUGCUUGAGAGCAUUUAUUGCUUGAACCAGAGUAUUUAUUGCUUGAGAGCAUUUAUUGCUCGAACUAGAGCAUUUAUUGCUCGAACUAGAGCAUUUAUUGCUUGAAAGAUAUUUUAGAGACAUACAUUUGAUCUCUGAAUCAUGACAUCAUCGAAAUCAUCGAAAUGCAACAUUGUGAAAUAUAUUUGUUUACUGAUUUUCCUGGUUACUCGCUAAGCUUCUAACUCACCCCAAAAAUAUUUUAUUCCCCUCCACAGGGCUCAAGGCGAAGGAAGGACUAGUGCUUAUUCACGUGGCUGGAUGGCAUAUAUCUUGUACAGUUUGGAUUUUGAAUCAUUUUAUGUUUAGUUUGGGGAAUUAUUUCCGCUUGGGAAUUAGUUUCCGCUGCAUUUGUGACAUGUAAUUAUUGGAGACUUGGAUGUAUAUUUGUGGACCAUGUGAUGUAUUUUUGAGAUUUAUAUUGUAAUCUGUUUGAGGAAUGUAGUGAUCGACUGAGUCCCGGCGAGAGUUGGGCAGGCGAUCCGCCGAACCCUCUGGUUCGCCUUAGGGGGAGGUGGGGUCGUCACAAUUACUAUGUUAAAUUAUCAUCGAGUUGCAUACUAUGUGAAAUUAUCAUCAAGUUGCAUGUGAAUAUCUUUACCUUGUCAUUAGCUAACGACUUGGAUACACGAAAUCAUUAUAUCAACUAGAAACAUUACCACUGAUAAGUGUGUAUUUUGAGUUUUUUAAGUGUGUUUUAUUAGUUAGUUUGCUGUGUUUUAAUUAGUUUUAUAACUUAUGAUCCAAGUUUCAAGUAAAAAUAUGCAUUUUAUUGUUUAAGUGGUAAAAGUUGCAUUUCUAUGAAUUUUAAUGUUGAAAACUUUAUGUUUUGUAGGUUUAAAUAUUCAAUCAUCAAAUGGUAUGAAUUGAGAAGGUAAUUAAAUGAUUGAUGAUGAUUUGAAGUGAUAAAAUGAGAAUAUGAAAUGCAACUUAGUAUACAAUAAAGAAGUUUUACAGCUUUGAUAUCUUGUGGUAUUUCGACUAUAUCUUGAGUUACAAGCAUCAGAUUGAAGUUCUUCUUAUACCAAUUUGAAGCUAAGAAAUACAUAUAAAUUUGUCAUUUAAGAAAUCGAAAUCCAGUUCAUGAGUUUUCCAAGUCAAAAUGUCGAAAUAUAGAAGUCCAUUUUCAUUGUCAAAAGUUGGAACAAUGUUUUGACCUAUCUCAAUUGUUUCAUAGAUAUUACCUUGAAUAUGCAGCACUUGAGAACUCACCAAAGGAACGUCUGCAUGGCUUUCCUGGGGAAUAAUGCCUUUAAAACCUAUAUUCUCAAUACAUUCCUCAAGAGAGAUAAAAAAUGAGUCGUUAAGGCUCACCUCUUGAGGUUCAAGGUUAGCUCCAGAGAUACUAUUAUAUGAAAUGGACAUUUUCUCAUUGAAACACAAUUGAUAUUCAUCAUUUUGAUCAAAAUACAAUCCACUUUCACUUGCAACAUGCUCACCAUUCAUGCAAUGGUCAUAGUGCAUAUCAUUAGAAGAAAUAACUUCACACAACUCAUGCAAUUGGUCUUAUAUUCUACCAAAGUGAGAAGCUAAUCUAUCCAACCUUUCCUCAAUCUUAGCAAAAUGGUUGGAAAUUGCAUUAGCUAGCUUUUCUAUAGCAAAAUCUCAAGAUGAGUUAGAAUCAUUAGUUAACUUUUCAAUUGCCAAUUCUCAAGAUGAUUUUGAUUCAUAUUGGACACAUCCAGAUUGAUAAUCAUAAAAACAUGGAGAAUCACUAUUAGUACAUCAAUUAUCCCUACCUUAAGUAGAAGAAUUAUCCCAAUUAGCACCAUAUUGAUCAAAACAAGGAUUGUAAUCCCCUAAAUUAUCAUAUUAAUCCAUAUUUUGUGUUUGCAUAUGUGACGCCCCCACUUCUCCCUAAGGCAAACCAAAGGGUAUCCGCGGAACGCCUGCCUAGCUCUCGCCAGGACUCAAGUAAUUCCAUUCAAGCUUAUUACUGAACCACACAAUACGAGUCAAUAACUUAGAUACAAUAAAUGAGGAAGCGUUCAAGUUUAAUGAAAGUCAUCCGUUAUCCGACCCGCACAUCGGGUGUUCAACAACCAUUAUAUAUAUCCCAAAUAUACAUCAUGCUCCAAAAGUUACAUUCGGAUUCCAAAAUACAAUCCAAAAGCCAAGACAUAGUCAAAAGUAAUAGAAACCCUAAACAAAAGUGUAUUAGGAAGGUUUCUUCGAUACCUCGCCAAGUUCAAUCCUGUUAAGGAAAACAAAUCUACAGGGUGAGCAAAAACGCUCGUGAGGCCAAGAACACACAUGCAGACACAUAGUUCAGAUAACAAGCCCAAAUAACAAUUCAAGUAAUAGCUUGCAAGUAAUUAAUAACGCCAACAAAAUGUAACCAGAAACAAUUCAAGGAUAUGGAAGCUCUCAGGAGCUAAGUUCCACAUUUUGCCGAUGUCAUUCGUAUAUCUCCCCGUGAUGACUCUCCGUCAACCGGGUUGAUAUUUUCAUAUCCGUAGUUCACCACUUACUUCUCAUCCGUCCACCAUACACCGCUUCGGGCCCGCACGACAUUUAUAAGGCGAUACUUCACGAGUAUGCCAAGCGAGAUCUCUCAAUAGAUCAAACUUAUCAUGUGAAUCUCAUGGCUCACCAAGGUUCCCGACCAAGCCCAUGCCGGCUCGAGUUCCAAGGUCGGCCUAUGAGUUUGGGCGUCCCCCAUGUAUCAUGUAAAUGUCGAGGAGAUUCACUCCAUCGACGUAUGCAAUCAUAGCAUACCAUGUCAUAUAUUCAAGCAUUUGACAGGUUUAAGCAUGUAUCUUAGGUCAUGUAAACCAGGCAAAGCAUGUUAAACAUGAGUCAUUUGUUCAAAUGAGAACGAGUGCGAUUAAGUACACACUCGACUCCAUUUUUCAAAACCAAAUAGACUAAGCAUGUAAUCAGGUAAGUCAAGCAUGAAUCAAGUCUUUAGAGUUCAAGUAGGCAUACACUUGACACUCACCAAGUUAUGCAAGCAAGUAGGUUGGAGGGAGAGUUCAAACUUCCACGGUAGGGUCCUCUUGGAGGUCCUCGUGCGUGCCUGAGUAUCAAAUAGAAGACAAUUUCUAUAAGUCCCCAAGUGGCGAGAAAGAUUGAACACGAGUAGGGUUCGGAAAUAUUUUGAAAAUUUCGUUUAAGCUUGUCUUUGAAGUUGGAUUCUCAAAAGGUGCAGGACUCGAGUAAAAUUGGAUUAUUAUUCUCGAAAUCAUUGGAUGGAAACGAGUACGAGCGAAUCGAUUGCAAAACGAACGAUCAAAAUCGGAAGUGGGAUGGCCACGUCACAAUCUGGCCGGAACCUGGCCGGAUAUCCGGCCGGAUUUCUGGUCGGAUUGGAGGCAGUAGCCAUCCUUAUUUUUUUCAAAUCUCAACUACAAUCCGGCCGCUUAUCCGGCCAGAAACUGGCCGGAUUCAAGGCCGGAUUUUAGAAAAAUGCUUCCCGCGUGGAUUUCUUUUGAAUUUUCCAGAAUUCUCGAUUUUUGGUAAAAUUUUUGAAAAUUCAUAACUUCUUUUGUACUAGUCAAAAAUUGGAAAAAUUGGUACCGUUGGAAUUGGCUUUGAAGCUACUAAAAGUUCUUAGAAGACACUGUUCCAUGAAUCUAAAUGGAAGGUAUUCAAAAAAUGAGCUUAAAGUUGCUGUUCCAAAUCACCCAGGAUUGAGCCCGGAUUGGUUUUUCGCUAACUUUGGAAAUUUGGCAGAAUUCACUCGUUGCAAACCAGCCCUUGAAAUUUAUAGCUCAAUUAGAGGUGCAAGUAAGGUUUAGGGCAGAGCAAGCGGAUCGAGAAUCGGAGUUUCGAGUAUCAAGAUAUGGUAGCUCAAAAUUGGAAAAAAUUCAAGACUGUUACAAAUUUCCAGAGUUGGUUCCGACUUUGGACCUUUUAUUAAGUGUCGAAACGGAUUUGGAUUGACACCAAAUUUUGCAGUAUAAUACUCCCAUAUGAAGGGUAUCUCUCUAUCAAAUUUCAUAAAAAAAUACCCUCGGAAAGGGGGUUAAUCAAUCAACCAAAGUUUGGAAAAAUCCAUAAGGCAAUCUGUCCAAAUCUAAGGUUUUCAAAAAUUGGGCAGUCGCCGUAUUUCGCUCAUAACUCCCUCAAUUGAACUCGGAAUUGGGAAUGGUUGAUAGUGUUAGAAAAUAAAUUCACAGGGCUAAAAUUUCACAAAAGAAAUUGUUUCAAGUUUCAGCAUGCAACUAGCUCGAAAUUAAGCCUAAAGUUGCAGCAUCAUCAAAUCAUUUCGGCAGAACGGAGAAACAGGGCAGCUGAAUUCAGAUGAAUGGUGCGGUUCACACACAUGGAAACAGAAUGUGCAUUAUACUCCGUGGGAAACAUGGGAACGUCUAGUUUCAAAUGCCGCUAACGGCACUCGAUUUCGACGUCGGAGUACGGAGUUAUGGACGAAACACGAACACUGGUCUGGUUACGACGGCAACCGUUUCCAGAUUACUAGCUUUGGAAAAUAAAUUCUUUUGAUCAACCAAAACUCAAUAUUUUUCAACGAAAUUUUGUACACAACUUGUACAACAUGUAAACAACACAAUCAAGCCAUUAAAUUCUCAAAUAUCCGCAGUAAAGUGGCCGAACAAAAAGGGGUAAAAUGGUCAAACUUGGCCAUUGCACUCAACGUGAGUUUCCAGCAGUUUUCCUUCACCAAAUCACUAACUUAAACACUGAUCUGAUAUCAUAAACUUCAUCAAGCACAAAAUCAGCAACAACCCAAGAGUGGGAAUUCAUAGAGCCCACUUUUUUUUCCAACAAUACAAGCUACUAAAGUGAAGAUUCCAGCUCAAAUGCAUAAAUCAACCUCCAUAAGACAAGUUUAAGGUAAUUGAUCAUUACCUACUUUGAUGGUUGUUUAAAUCAGAAUUUUCGGUCCCUUUUCAGCUUGAAGAAAACCGUGAAAGCUCCUCCCCUUUUCAGCUUAAUGUGUUGUCCAAGUGUAGAGCUAAGUGUAUGUGAAAUUUUGGUUGAAUCUAUGGAAGUUUGGUAGUGAUUUUUGUGAGCUUGGUAGAAGGAAUGGUGAAGCUGCUGCGGCUGAAGCUAUCCGUCCAUUGCAGCUAGAAGAAAUGAGAUGCGGUUCUGGUUUCCUUUGCGUACAAAAGACGCUUGACGUCUAAUAUUUUAAAUAUGUCAAAUCAAUUACAACUAGUGCCCUACGCGCGCGUUUUGUGUUCGAUUUCUCUUACGUUUGUUGCACUAGUGCACUAAACCUCUAGGGUACCUAUAUUCAUAUAAAUAUUAUUCAUUAUUAAUUGUCCCAAAAUAAUGGUCCAAAGUCCCUCAAUUAAGCGCGCACGUGAAAACACGUAAUUUAAAUUUAGGCGCGAUAAAAUGAAACCUUCGACAAAUUCUUAUAACGAUCGUACCACUAACUAUCACUUGAGUAUUUAAACCUAAAUUUACCUAUUUUAGGACCAUUGUACAUGUCUCCAAAUUUUCGAGCUUAUUGUACUCCCAAUUGGCUAAAGUUUUUCAGACACGUUUUCACUUUUCACUAAUCAAGUUUUUAAGAAAAUAAUUCUUGAAAUGAGACGCUUUAAAAAUAUAACGAAACUAUAAAACCAUGUACUUAGGUCUAAUAAGGCUAGAAAAUAUUAUUCGGGGCAAAAAUCCAAAUAGAUAAUUAAUUGAGCCAAAAUUAGGGGUUUUAAAAAUAAUAAUUUUACGAGUUCUCACGUGAAUUGAGUAUUAAUUCCUCCAUUAACCUUUCUUAAUCUAUUAUUGAUCGUUCUUAAUUCUCCAAUAUUAAUACACUCCCGAUUCAAGUAUAGCAUAGAAAAACGUGCACCCGUCGUUCCGGACUAAACAAAUUUUCGAAAAGCGAAUUUUUCAACAAAACGCUUUAAAAAUAUAAAGAGGCGUCAUUCCAUAUAAAUGGAUUUAAAAUGGUCGAAAUAACUAAUUCGAAGAAAAUGAGUGAAUAAUCAUUUAAAUAUUCCAGUAAUAUUCUAUAAAAAUAAGAAAAUUUUCGGGUCCUCACAUCCUCCCCUUCUUGAAAGGAAUUUCGUCCUCGAAAUUCAUACUUAGAACAAUAUCAUUCCCUUCAUGGUUAAGCCUAUCAGAUCAAUCAUUGACUUACAUUUUCCAACUCACUCCAAAUCAUGAGUUGAUUACUUUCUUCAGGAAAUUUUUUACUUUCAGAAGGCAUAUACAAUCACCUCAUCAUAUAUUAUUAAUAUACAUUCUAAACCAUCCUUUGAACCAUCUGUAUAAAUCACAAAAUCACCUCAUCCGCUCGGUAAAGCCAACACAAGUGCACUGGUUAAACGAUUUUCACCUUCAAAUUCUUCCUCACAUUUAGAAUCUCAAAUAACUUGCCAAGUCUCGUAUCCUCAGAAGUCCCUGAUCAAAUCAAGGUAAUAUUCGACUACCUCUAAGAAAUCCAAAUUUCGGUAGGAUUUUCUAGUCAUUUCCUCUUAAACAACUUCCACUUAAGCUGAGUUAACAACAAUUUCUUCCUUAGAUAUUAUGUAACUUAGAAAGGCUAUUUCUUCCCAUCGAACUCACAUUUAUUGGACUUAACAAAAGUUAGCGUUCUCUCGGGGUUUGUAAAACUACCAUCAGGUAUUUUUUUCAUGAUCUUCUCAAACUUUAGGGUAUAUCAAUACAUCAUCAAUAAAUGUCAUCACAGAUUAAUCCUAUUACGAUUUAAAAUCUUGAUGCAUCAAUGCAAUAAUUGCUGCUAAUACAUUAGUCAACCCAAUUGGCAUAACUGAAAAUUCAAGCAUCCCCAUCUUGAAUUGGAAGUGGUUAAGCACAUCAGUUUCUAGGAUUCCCGGUUGGUAGUAACUCUACUUUAAAUCCUUUAUUCGCUGCUCUUGACCCUUGAUUAUAAUUCUCGUUUAUGUGAGGCUAUGGAGUAUUUGUUCUUAAUAGUCUCAUCGUUCAAAUCUCAAUAAUCUAUGUAUAUAUAGCCUCAAGCGUCCAUUCCAAAUAUAACAUCCGGUCCUUAAUCGUUAGGCUCAUUCAAGCCAUCAAAUAUUUCCUUUCACUCACCCAAAUCUCACAACUUUUAAUAUCUCAAGUUGGCGAUCAAACAUUGGAUCCCAUCUUCAACCCUAAGUUCUCGAACUUUUUUUUUUCUUCCCAGAAUUCAGCCAAUUUAGUUUGGAAUUCCAACUCCUUGUGAAGAACUUCUAUUUCUAUACGCAUCUCUUCCAAACUUUUCAUUCAUCCAUUUUCUUAAUCCUAACUGUUAGUCUAUCAACUGCUCAAGCAUCUAAAUAAGUAGCAAAUCAGAAUUUGAAACUCAACUAUCCACAACCUGUAAAUUCUCACGCAUCUAAGUCAUCCAGGUAUAUUUACUCUUCCUUCUCCUCGAAUGAUACUCAAGAAAAUCCACACACACGACUAAAGUAAUACCUCUUGAUAUAAUGAUAUGUACUUCCAUUCUAAGGUCUUACUCCCGUGUGUAGUGAAACCAUAAAUUACACGCCAUAUGAAACAAGUUCCAAAUCCUAACAAAAAAAUUGUUACGCACUAGCAGGACCAAAAUCCCUUGUCUCAAAAUUUUGUCUAAAUCAAACCGAUCAUGACUUACAAGAUAAGGUCAAGACUUUUGAUGUAUUUUGAAUGUAUCUGUGGCAAAAUGCGAUUCAAAAUUUUCAAAAUUAGAGUUAAAGAUACAAAUUUUUCUUCAUGACCCAAAACUAAAUUUUCUUAGUGAGAGAUUUCAAAUAAUGUUUAACCACAAUCAUCAAUACAUAUUUAAAAUCUCUCAAAUAGAUUUAAGAAUAUUAAUCAUGCAACUUAAUGCAUGAUUUUUAAAACAUAUACCUAAUAAUCAUAACAUAUACAUGGAGGGUGUUCCAACACUUUUCCUCAAAGUUUCGAGUUAAAUCUAUGUUCAAGUAAGGCGUAUAUUUUAGAAAAUACCUUUAAGAAAGAUAGGUAAACAUGUAGGUUCAUAUUCGCAUAACCUGUGAUCCAAUACCUUUACCACCCUUUUAUCCAACCAAGAGUUAACUCUACUGGUACAUAAAACCCGAUCAUUUCUAAUAUCUGAUUCAUAAUAAAUAGGCAUUCAUGUUCCUAAGAAAAAUUCGAACUUGAACUCUAUCUGAUUUCGAGUCUCAAACGAGUUCAAAAUGUGUAUACAUAUAUAUAUAUAUAUAUAUAAAUUUUGUGAAAAGUAAAACAAGUGAAUCUGGGUAUAGUAUUAGUCAAGUAAAAUUGAAAGCGCUUUUGUUCAAAUAGAACAAAUUGGAAAUGAGUUCAAGUCAUCUCACCAAACCCACGAAAUACUUUUGGAGUUCAAACUUUCACAAAAGUUGAAAUAUGGCCACAGGACCAAUUAUAAUAUAUGUAUAAAGCAGCUAUUAAAAUUUCACACAGGAAAAUCUCACUAAGUUCCCAACUAGGUUAAUCCAUUAUACACUGGUAGAUCUAAUCUUCUGGUUUAUUCUCGAUUCAUAUUCAGUACUAGAAUCUCAUUAAAUUAUAUAAGACUAUCCAUCAAUUUUUCUCACGAGUACAGGGUUGUCUAAGUCCUCGGCCACGACCCCUUUUUCCUAUUCCUGCUACCAUACUUAAUAGGAGUCUAUAAGCGCAAGAAAAGGAAUAAUUAAUCAUAAAAGAACUUAAUGCAUAUACAAGUUACAAAAAUAUUUAGAAUCAAGACAUGAUUCUUUACAUGUAUCGAAGGUUAUAGUACGAGUUAAGAAGUCACAAAACAAUCCCAAUAUGUCAAAUACUGUAUAUAGGCAAUUAAGGGUCACAAAAUGUAGAAGUAUAUGCAAGCGGGAUACAAAAGGUCUCACGGCGUGCACCACCCUUCCUAAGUCCUUAAUUAAACCAAUGGGUCCGAAUAUCACUAAUUCCAAUCAGAUCACAUGCCUUUACGAAAUUAGAUCCAAUCAAACCAUAAAACAAGCGGAAACCAAAGGUUAUCCAUUCGAAAUUCAAAAUCUUUAAUAAGCAAGCCACCAAACAGAGCACCAUCAUCUCCAAGAAUAACUAGUCUUAGGGUUUUAUAGUUAAAGCCUCAAGCUCCAAGUUCAAACCCAAGAAAUAAGUACAGGAGGUUAUGGGCAUCUGCGGAGCGGGUUUGGAGACAAAGGGAGACGGAGUUCGAUGAACGCAGGGAUGAUGAGUCCAAGCUUCGCCUCCAUGAAGCUAGGGCUAGAUACAAUAGGGAGCUGUCGGUUGAAUGCGAGUUUUGGAGGCAAAAGGCAGGGGUUCGAUGGAUCAAGGAGGGGGAUGCGAAUACCGCUUUCUUCCAUGCCCUUGUCAGACAACGGCGUAACUCCAACUUUAUCUCACGCAUAAAGCGGGAUGAUGGGGGAUGGUUGGAAACUGAACACGACAUUAAGGCGUCCGCAGUGCAGUUCUACUCGGACCUCUUCUCGUCCACUAGACAGAGGGUCCCAAUACCAGAUCUCCCUUUUGAGGUGCCGAAGAUAGCGAGGUCGGAGAAUGAGAUGAUGAAGGGCAUGCCUUCCGAAGAAGAGGUUCAGGCUGUGGUGUUUGGCUUCGAUAUUGAUAGUGCUCCGGGCCCGGAUGGCUUUGGGGCGGGUUUCUACCAAAGUUGUUGGGGCAUCAUCAAAGAGGAUCUCGUGCUGGUGGUCCAGGAUUUUUUCAAGGGAAUGCAACAGCCUCGAGGUUGGACGAAAUCUCUUCUGAUUCUUAUCCCAAAGACUGAGGGAGCAUCACAAUGGAGGGAAUUCCGACCCAUCAGUCUGUGCAAUGUGAGUUCGAAGAUCGUCUCUAAGAUACUCGCUAACAGGAUCAAUCGGUUGUUGCCGAACCUGAUCUCGCCUUGGCAAGCGGGCUUUGUUCCAGGAAGGGGGAUCGUAGACAAUAUUUUGCUUGCACAGGAGGUUAUGGGCGAGCUUGAUAGGAGGCUGGCAGACCCAAACGUGAUCCUUAAGCUAGAUAUGGAGAAGGCCUAUGAUCGGGUUGACUGGUCCUUUCUGUUAUUCAUGCUCCGUCAGUUUGGAUUUGAGGAAGGUGUGGUGGACCUGCUAUUUCGGACGUUCUCCAAUUCGUGGUUUUCGGUUUUGGUGAAUGGGGAGCAGACUGGGCUUGUCAAGUCCUCUCAAGGGGUUCGGCAGGGGGACCCAUUAUCUCCUGCGCUCUUCUUGUUUGUAGCCGAAUUUUUGGAUAGGGGUAUCCAGCAGUUGUUUGAAGCUAAAAAGAGCCGCUACUUUGUGACUGCGGGGCCGAAUGUUCCAUAUCUAGCCUUUGCGGAUGACACAAUUAUCUUUACUCGCUGCUCCCACGACGCGUUGUCAGCAAUCCAGGAUUUUUUACACCUAUAUCAGGCAUAUUCGGGGCAGGUGGUAAAUCUCAGUAAGAGUUCCUUCGCGUCAUCCUCGAGGCUGUUAGAGUCUCAACGGGGGAUUAUCAGGGCACUUCUUGGCUUUAAAGAGCAGCAACCUCCCUUCAGUUACCUGGGAAUCCCCUUGAUACGGGGCAGGGUUACGAGUGCGAUCUUUGAUGGUCUACUGUCUAGGAUGCGGCAGCGCUUAUUUCACUGGAGUUCAAAGAUGCUAUCAAUGGGGGCAAAAUCAUCCUCAUUCGUUACGUAUUGGGUUCUAUACCUUUAUAUUGGCUUCAGGCUCUGCAACCCCCAGGGGCAGUGCUUGUAGCAAUGGGUCGGCUCUGCAAUGCCUUCUUAUGGGACAACCCAGAUUCUCGCCGUAUUCACUGGACGGCGUGGGAAAAGGUGUGCUACCCGGUCGAGGAAGGGGGGUUAGGAUUUCGUUCAUUUGAAACGCUAGGGCAGGCGUUUGCAUGCAAGCUGUGGUGGAAAUUAAGAGCAAAUCAGUCACCGUGGUCAAAUUUUAUGCAUUGCAAGUAUGUGAAGGGCGAGCAUCCGGGCUUGGUUUCAAUUCAUCGCCCUUCGGUUGUGUGGCGGCGUCUGCUGGAGGUGCGGGGGGUUGCUGAAGAAAACAUCCGGUGGUGCCUUGGUGAGGGUUUGGUAGAUUUCUGGCAGGAUAGAUGGUGCACGGAUGUCCCCCUCGCCCAGCUGGUCUCGGGCCAUAGUCACUCGCAUCUUCUGGUGGGGGAACUCUUCAUGGACACGGGAUGGGAUGCUCAGCGACUGCGGCAGUUGUUGCCGGGAGCCUUGGUGGAAAAGGUCCUGGCCCUACGUGUGUUCCCGGGUAUGCAGGACAGGAUGAUCUGGGUGGCAUCCCAGUCGGGGGAAUUCUCCAUCUCCUCAGCGUGGGAGCAGCUUCGGGGGAAAAGAAACAUUUCCAUGGUGGACUCCCUCUUAUGGAGCCCGAUUAUCCCAAAAAAGAUCUCUUUCUUUAGGUGGAGGGCAUUGAGGAGCUGGUUGCCAUUGGAUGGGGUAUUACAGCAGCGGGGACGUCCUUUGGCGUCAAGGUGCUCAUGUUGUGGGGGAGCGACGGAGACCACUGGCCAUGUGUUGGUAUCUGGGCCAGUGGCUGCGACAGUGUGGAGGUUUUUUGCAGAUCGCUUUGGGAUUAUGACGCAGGGGCGGGUGGUGCAGGCUCGACUCUCCAGCUGGUUCUUCUCCCACUCCUACGUGAGCAGAAAUCAUAUUCGUGUCCUUCUUCCUAUGGUGAUCCUUUGGUUUCUAUGGAAAUCCCGUAAUGCAGCUCGUUUUGAGGGGACGGCCAUGUCCCCAGGGAUUAUCAUUUGGCAGGUUAGCGCAUUUAUCCAGCAGCUGGGAAGGGGAGGUCGGUUACGCCGGCAGGAUUUCCAGGGGGAUGCGGAUUGCGAGUGGGCGACAUUUGGCAUAGGCAAUCGACGGCAGAUUAUACCCCGCGCAGUUACUUGGGCAUUGCCACCCACGUCCUCAGUGAAACUGAAUACCGAUGCUAGCGUCACCGAGGGGCUGGCCACCGGGGGGGACUGGUGCGUACUUCAGAUGGCGACCUGGUUUUUGCAUUUUACAAGAAGUUCGGGGAGUGCGAUGUGCUCACAGCAGAGGCGUUGGCGUUAUUGGAAGGUUUGCGGUUAUGCUAUGCUCGGCACAUCAUGCACUUUGUGGCUGAGGUGGAUUCGCGUGUUUUGGUGCGCAUGGUCUCCUCUUGCGGCCCUGCCCGAUGGCCUUUGGUCAACACUCUACGUCAUAUUCAAUGGCUUUCAGGGCAAAUGGGGGUCUCAGUGGCACAUAUCUAUCGAGAAGCAAAUACGGCAGCGGAUGCCCUUGCGGGCUCGCGGCCUCAACAGGAUGGCGUUUUUACAGUCCGGGCUGAGCUUCCUCGGAAGGCCCGGUCCGCUCUCCAAUUGGACAGGCUCUCAGUUCCCUCGGUUCGGCUAGGCAGGGUCCGGCGUUAGUUUUGACUAGGCGUUUGGCUCUGUGUAACUUUGUUCGCUCGGUGUCAAUAAAAGUUGAGUUAAAAAAAAAAAAAAAAAACAGUAUACGACAUCGAAUUGAAGAAGUGAAGCCAGAUAAUUGCUCCAAAUACUCGUCAGAGGAUUUUUCAAAGAAGAGUGUUUAGCAGUAUACAGUAUCGAACAGUGAAAUUCGUUUCAAAUAUCGCAUUGGAUACUUAGGCGGGAAAAAUCUGCAACUUACACGGCUUUUCAUCCUUCUUUCUUGCAGCAUCUAUGAUGUUUUGACAGCUAAAAAGUUAAAAAAAAAAAAAAAAGUCAACCGCAACUAUUAUCUAUCUAUAUAAUCUAAGAAUACAACCUAGACAAAACAAGUCCGACGUUACCAGUCCUAGGUUCAUUUCUUAAUCAGAUUUGACUUUUGUAUUCGAAUCCUAGCUCUUCUAUAAAAAUUGUCGAGAGACUUGUUUUAGAUUUUAUUCAAAAAAAAAAAAAAAAAAAAAGUCAAUUCACACUAACUGCGUGUUCUUGAAUGCGGUUACUCUAUAUUUCAAAAUUUCCUCAAUCCGUACACCUAAAGAUAGGCUCACCCUUCUUGAAAACCAAGAAUUUUAAAAUAUAAGAAGAGUAUUUAAAGUAACAAAAAUCUUAUCAAGUUCAAGAUUUUCAUUAUAAAAACAUAAGUUCGCCGUUCUUCCGAAAAUUCAAGAUAUUUUUAUUAUUAUUAUUAUUUAUUUUUUUUUUGUAAAGCAUAGAUGAAUUCAAGUGUGAGAAUACACCAGUAUACAAUCAAGGGGGAAAAUCUAGUUUAGAAAAUUGUAACCUUGUAUCAGCCCAUCACAUACAAAAUUUCAACAAACUCAUCAGUUAUUCACAAAUUUUUAAAUUGAAAUUCAAGUAAAAUUCACAUAUUUACCAAAAUCGAAGAAUUACACAUACUUAAAGCAUAUAUAUAUUAUUUCCAAUCAUCGUUUGAAAAUAAAACUAGUACAUCCUCAUUUUUCCUUUAGAAUUUCAAAGCAUAAAUUCUCUAGGAGGUAAAUGAGCAGGAAAAUGCAUUUUAUUCCUUUGAAACUCUUUCAUCUGGGUUCACAAUCACGAUACAUGGAGUUUGACCAUCAAAUCUUGGUCUCUUAUCCAUUUUAGCCAGCACUAAUAAUUGUCUCACUUCUUUCCACACUUACAAGUAUAAAAAUAAUUCAAAUUCGUCCAAUCUUUCACUACUAAUCUCUCAUCCCAUAUUUUCCUUCAAUAUAACAUCAGCUAAUUCCUCAAUUUUCAUUUCUACAAGUCCCAAGUAAGAAACUCUCAAGUAACCAAUUUCUUUAACCCGUAGGAUACAAUAGACCCUCUAGUUCACAUAAUAUUCAAAUUAAUCCCACGGUCAGGCAUCCUGAACUUUAAGCCCAGGAUACACUACAAGAUCUAAAGCCUAUGCUCUGAUACCAACUGUGACGCCCCCACUUCCCCCUAAGGCGAACCAAAGGGUAUCCGCGGAACGCCUGCCUAACUCUCGCCAGGACUCAAGUAAUUCCAUUCAAGCUUAUUACCGGACCACACAAUACGAGUCAAUAACUUAGAUACAAUAAAUGCGGAAGCGUUCAAGUUUAAUGAGAGUCAUCCGUUAUCCGACCCGCACAUCGGGUGUUCAACAACCAUUAUAUAUAUCCCAAAUAUACAUCAUGCUCCAAAAGUUACAUUCGGAUUCCAAAAUACAAUCCAAAAGCCAAGACAUAGUCAAAAGUAAUAGAAACCCUAAACAAAAGUGUAUUAGGAAGGUUUCUUCGAUACCUCGCCAAGUUCAAUCCUGUUAAGGAAAACAAAUCUACAGGGUGAGCAAAAACGCUCGUGAGGCCAAGAACACACAUGCAGACACAUAGUUCAGAUAACAAGCCCAAAUAACAAUUCAAGUAAUAGCUUGCAAGUAAUUAAUAACGCCAACAAAAUGUAACCAGAAACAAUUCAAGGAUAUGGAAGCUCUCAGGAGCUAAGUUCCACAUUUUGCCGAUGUCAUUCGUAUAUCUCCCCGUGAUGACUCUCCGUCAACCGGGUUGAUAUUUUCAUAUCCGUAGUUCACCACUUACUUCUCAUCCGUCCACCAUACACCGCUUCGGGCCCGCACGACAUUUAUAAGGCGAUACUUCACGAGUAUGCCAAGCGAGAUCUCUCAAUAGAUCAAGCUUAUCAUGUGAAUCUCAUGGCUCACCAAGGUUCCCGACCAAGCCCAUGCCGGCUCGAGUUCCAAGGUCGGCCUAUGAGUUUGGGCGUCCCCCAUGUAUCAUGUAAAUGUCGAGGAGAUUCACUCCAUCGACGUAUGCAAUCAUAGCAUACCAUGUCAUAUAUUCAAGCAUUUGACAGGUUUAAGCAUGUAUCUUAGGUCAUGUAAACCAGGCAAAGCAUGUUAAACAUGAGUCAUUUGUUCAAAUGAGAACGAGUGCGAUUAAGUACACACUCGACUCCAUUUUUCAAAACCAAAUAGACUAAGCAUGUAAUCAGGUAAGUCAAGUAUGAAUCAAGUCUUUAGAGUUCAAGUAGGCAUACACUUGACACUCACCAAGUUAUGCAAGCAAGUAGGUUGGAGGGAGAGUUCAAACUUCCACGGUAGGGUCCUCUUGGAGGUCCUCGUGCGUGCCUGAGUAUCAAAUAGAAGACAAUUUCUAUAAGUCCCCAAGUGGCGAGAAAGAUUGAACACGAGUAGGGUUCGGAAAUAUUUUGAAAAUUUCGUUUAAGCUUGUCUUUGAAGUUGGAUUCUCAAAAGGUGCAGGACUCGAGUAAAAUUGGAUUAUUAUUCUCGAAAUCAUUGGAUGGAAACGAGUACGAGCGAAUCGAUUGCAAAACGAACGAUCAAAAUCGGAAGUGGGAUGGCCACGUCACAAUCUGGCCGGAACCUGGCCGGAUAUCCGGCCGGAUUUCUGGUCGGAUUGGAGGCAGUAGCCAUCCUUAUUUUUUUCAAAUCUCAACUACAAUCCGGCCGCUUAUCCGGCCAGAAACUGGCCGGAUUCAAGGCCGGAUUUUAGAAAAAUGCUUCCCGCGUGGAUUUCUUUUGAAUUUUCCAGAAUUCUCGAUUUUUGGUAAAAUUUUUGAAAAUUCAUAACUUCUUUUGUACUAGUCAAAAAUUGGAAAAAUUGGUACCGUUGGAAUCGCCUUUGAAGCUACUAAAAGUUCUUAGAAGACACUGUUCCAUGAAUCUAAAUGGAAGGUAUUCAAAAAAUGAGCUUAAAGUUGCUGUUCCAAAUCACCCAGGAUUGAGCCCGGAUUGGUUUUUCGCUAACUUUGGAAAUUUGGCAGAAUUCACUCGUUGCAAACCAGCCCUUGAAAUUUAUAGCUCAAUUAGAGGUGCAAGUAAGGUUUAGGGCAGAGCAAGCGGAUCGAGAAUCGGAGUUUCGAGUAUCAAGAUAUGGUAGCUCAAAAUUGGGAAAAAUUCAAGACUGUUACAAAUUUCCAGAUUUGGUUCCGACUUUGGACCUUUUAUUAAGUGUCGAAACGGAUUUGGAUUGACACCAAAUUUUGCAGUAUAAUACUCCCAUAUGAAGGGUAUCUCUAUAUCAAAUUUCAUAGAAAAAUACCCUCGGAAAGGGGGUUAAUCAAUCAACCAAAGUUUGGAAAAAUCCAUAAGGCAAUCUGUCCAAAUCUAAGGUUUUCAACAACGGGGCAGUCGCCGUAUUUCGCUCAUAACUCCCUCAAUUGAACUCGGAAUUGGGAAUGGUUGAUAGUGUUAGAAAAUAAAUUCACAGGGAUAAAAUUUCACAGAAGAAAUUGUUUCAAGUUUCAGCAUGCAACUAGCUCGAAAUUAAGCCUAAAGUUGCAGCAUCAUCAAAUCAUUUCGGCAGAACGGAGAAACAGGGCAGCUGAAUUCAGAUGAAUGGUGCGGUUCACACACAUGGAAACAGAAUGUGCAUUAUACACCGUGGGAAACAUGGGAACGUCUAGUUUGAAAUGCCGCUAACGGCACUCGAUUUCGACGUCGGAGUACGGAGUUAUGGACGAAACACGAACACUGGUCUGGUUACGACGGCAACCGUUUCCAGAUUACUAGCUUUGGAAAAUAAAUUCUUUUGAUCAACCAAAACUCAAUAUUUUUCAACGAAAUUUUGUACACAACUUCUACAACAUGUAAACAACACAAUCAAGCCAUUAAAUCCUCAAAUAUCUGCAGUAAAGUGGCCGAACAAACAGGGGCAAAAUGGUCAAACUUGGCCAUUGCACUCAACGUGAGUUUCCAGCAGUUUUCCUUCAACAAAUCACUAACUUAAACACUGAUCUGAUAUCAUAAACUUCAUCAAGCACAAAAUCAGCAACAACCCAAGAGUGGGAAUUCAUAGAGCCCACUUUUUUUUCCAACAAUACAAGCUACUAAAGUGAAGAUUCCAGCUCAAAUGCAUAAAACAACCUCCAUAAGACAAGUUUAAGGUAAUUGAUCAUUACCUACUUUGAUGGUUGUUUAAAUCAGAAUUUUCGGUCCCUUUGAAGCUUGAAGAAAACCGUGAAAGCUCCUCCCCUUUUCAGCUUAAUGUGUUGUCCAAGUGUAGAGCUAAGUGUAUGUGAAAUUUUGGUUGAAUCUAUGGAAGUUUGGUAGUGAUUUUUGUGAGCUUGGUAGAAGGAAUGGUGAAGCUGCUGCGGCUGAAGCUAUCCGUCCAUUGCAGCUAGAAGAAAUGAGAUGCGGUUCUGGUUUCCUUUGCGUACAAAAGACGCUUGACGUCUAAUAUUUUAAAUAUGUCAAAUCAAUUACAACUAAUGCCCUACGCGCGCGUUUUGUGUUCGAUUUCUCUUACGUUUGUUGCACUAGUGCACUAAACCUCUAGGGUACCUAUAUUCAUAUAAAUAUUAUUCAUUAUUAAUUGUCCCAAAAUAAUGGUCCAAAGUCCCUCAAUUAAGCGCGCACGUGAAAACACGUAAUUUAAAUUUAGGCGCGAUAAAAUGAAACCUUCGACAAAUUCUUAUAACGAUCGUACCACUAACUAUCAUUUGAGUAUUUAAACCUAAAUUUACCUAUUUUAGGACCAUUGUACAUGUCUCCAAAUUUUCGAGCUUAUUGUACUCCCAAUUGGCUAAAGUUUUUCAGACACGUUUUCACUUUUCACUAAUCAAGUUUUUAAGAAAAUAAUUCUUGAAAUGAGACGCUUUAAAAAUAUAACGAAACUAUAAAACCAUGUACUUAGGUCUAAUAAGACUAGAAAAUAUUAUUCGGGGCAAAAAUCCAAAUAGAUAAUUAAUUGAGCCAAAAUUAGGGGUUUUAAAAAUAAUAAUUUUACGAGUUCUCACGUGAAUUGAGUAUUAAUUCCUCCAUUAACCUUUCUUAAUCUAUUAUUGAUCGUUCUUAAUUCUCCAAUAUUAAUACACUCCCGAUUCAAGUAUAGCAUAGAAAAACGUGCACCCGUCGUUCCGGACUAAACAAAUUUUCGAAAAGCGAAUUUUUCAACAAAACGCUUUAAAAAUAUAAAGAGGCGUCAUUCCAUAUAAAUGGAUUUAAAAUGGUCGAAAUAACUAAUUCGAAGAAAAUGAGUGAAUAAUCAUUUAAAUAUUCCAGUAAUAUUCUAUAAAAAUAAGAAAAUUUUCGGGUCCUCACAUCCUCCCCUUCUUGAAAGGAAUUUCGUCCUCGAAAUUCAUACUUAGAACAAUAUCAUUCCCUUCAUGGUUAAGCCUAUCAGAUCAAUCAUUGACUUACAUUUUCCAACUCACUCCAAAUCAUGAGUUGAUUACUUUCUUCAGGAAAUUUUUUACUUUCAGAAGGCAUAUACAAUCACCUCAUCAUAUAUUAUUAAUAUACAUUCUAAACCAUCCUUUGAACCAUCUGUAUAAAUCACAAAAUCACCUCAUCCGCUCGGUAAAGCCAACACAAGUGCACUGGUUAAACGAUUUUCACCUUCAAAUUCUUCCUCACAUUUAGAAUCUCAAAUAACUUGCCAAGUCUCGUAUCCUCAGAAGUCCCUGAUCAAAUCAAGGUAAUAUUCGACUACCUCUAAGAAAUCCAAAUUUCGGUAGGAUUUUCUAGUCAUUUCCUCUUAAACAACUUCCACUUAAGCUGAGUUAACAACAAUUUCUUCCUUAGAUAUUAUGUAACUUAGAAAGGCUAUUUCUUCCCACAGGAAAGAUUUUCAAUUACUGAUGAUUUGCGAACUCCUUUAUUAUUUAGACUAUCACAAGUACAAGUAACUCUACACUAUAAACAUGAAGUAAAAGUAAUAAAAAUAAUACUAAAAGACUGCUAAAGGUAUGGAAUUCCUUACUACUCUUGCAAAUUAAGUUACUAGUUAAGUGAAUCCUAUUAUCUUGCCUAAUCAUGGCGUAAUUUCUUAAUGUAUGUGAAACCUACUCUCGUAAUGAAUCAACUAUAUUUGUAAUUAAACCAUACCUAGUCUUGUGGAUAUGAAAUUAACUACAAGUUCAUUUUUUCUAUGAAAUUAUAUGAAACAAGUCAUUAAAGCCACAAAGAUGGUUCCCUCGUGAGUGAAUUCCUUAGGUUUAUCACUUUCUUGAACUAGUGUUAAAUUUCAAUUCUCAUUGCAAACUUAACACCUUAAGAUUACCAUAAUUAAUGGCCGGUUAGUCAUAAUUAGAAAAGCAAAAGUGAUAAAUAACUUGGUCAAAAUAUUAUCAUCAAAUAAUCAAGUAAAAUUGUGUGGGGUUGAUGUAGAAGAUUCCACAUCCAAGGCGUCUGCUGAAGUAGCUUUGCCAACUAUCGCGGGAAACUUAUCUCCAAGAUUGGUUAAACCAAGUGAGCCGUCAGUGGAGCCAUUAAUAAACACUUUGAACAUUGACCAAUCUGUAGUUGAUGAGAGGAAUUGCCGACAAGAAAGGGUAAAGGGUGUGCGAGCAUGUAUCCCAUCCGACAGACAGUUACGUUCAGCAACAUCAUCACACAGCUCUAUCCAGGUUUUUUCUCAUGAUUAGUGGUCUAUUUUGGAAUAUUAGAGGGGUAUCUAAAGCCCCUAAUUUAAGAAGAUUGAUUAAAUUAGUACGUAUUCACCGGUUCAAGUUUGUUGCGAUUUGUGAACCUAAGCUACACCUGACCAAAAUUGAGUCCAUUCAUCUACGACUAUUAUUUGAUUCUACCUGUGUUAAUUGCUCGGGUGAUAUUUGGAUAUUCUAUAGUAGUUCUUUUGUAUGUUCCAUUGUUGGUAGUUCGGAUCAGCAUAUUUCUAUACAUGUUCAAAGUCAAUUGCUUUCUACUCCAAUAGUCAUGUCUUUUGUCCAUGCGAAGUGUUCAGUGGAGGAGCGUCGUGUCUUAUGGUGUUCCUUAUUAAAUGAUAAGCCAAAUUCUCUUCCUUGGUGUAUUGGAGGUGACUUUAAUGUUAUAUUAGCUCCUCAUGAAAAACGGGGGGGACGUCCAUUUGCUAUAGCGGAGGGGGCGGAUUUCAUGUCCUUUAUGGAAGAAGCAGGGAUAUUUGAUGUAGGAUUUUCAGGAGCUAGCGUCACGUGGUCUAACAAUAGGAGAAGGAGAGCUCGGGUUUCAAAGAGGUUGGAUAGAUUUUUAGUCAAUGGGGCUUGUUUGGAUUUCUCCGACGUAAUUUCUGUGCUUCACCUGGCAAGGCAUCCCUCGGAUCUUGCACCCUUGAAAAUUUCAUUUGAGAAUCGAUCAGAAAAUAAGCCGCGGCCUUUCAGAUUUUUGAAUGUCUGGACGACUAGACAUGACCUCUUGGAGGUGAUUCGCCAGGCUUGGAAUCAAGAUGUGGGUGGAUCUCCGUUGCGUGUUUUGUGUUCUAAAUUAUUGGCAACGAGGAGGGCUAUUCAGACAUGGAACAAGCAACACUUUGGGAAUAUAUUUGAUGCAGUUCAUUCUGCGGAAUUGGAGGUCCAACGUGCAGAGGAAGCUAUGGAUCAAUAUGUAUCGGAGGAAUGUCAAAUUGAGCUUAGUAAGGCUCAGGCAGAGCUGCGCCAUGCAUUGUCAAUUGAAGAACAAUUUUGGAGGCAAAAAUCCAGGGUAACAUGGCUCAAACAAGGAGAUCGUAAUUCAAGGUAUUUCCAUGCGGUAGUCAGGCAAAGACGGGUUCAAGGAAUGAUACACCGCAUCAAAAAGUCAAAUGGGGUCUGGGUGGAUACAAAUGUUGAUAUAGCAACUGAGGCAAUAUCAUAUUUCUCUAACCUCUUCACGGGCUCUUUGCAAUCAGCUUCUGAUAUGCAGCACUUAAUUUCGCCCAUGAUCUCGGAAGAGGAUAAUGCAAAAUUGGAGGAAGUGCCUUCGAUUGACGAGGUUUAUCAAGUAGUGCGAUCAAUGGAUGGGGAUAGUGCUGCUGGCCCAAAUGGUUUCACAGGUAAAUUUUUUACAUUCGCCUGGGAAGUUGUCGCCCAAGAUGUCUAUAAUGCGAUACUUAGCUUUUUCUGUGGGGCAGAGUUACCUCGUUUCAUCACCUCUACCUCCAUUGUGUUAAUUCCAAAGAAGCCAAAUCCUCAGGAGUUUUCUCAAUUUAGGCCCAUCAGCUUAUGUAAUUUCUUCAACAAGUUGUUAUCCAGGAUUUUAGCUGAUAGAGUGGCUUAUGUUUUGCCAAAAAUCAUUUCACCCCAGCAGACAGGCUUUGUGAAGGGCCGUAAUAUAACAGAUAACUUUCUGCUAGCUCAGGAAGUAGUAUCGGGUAUUGCAAAAAAGAAUAGAGGUGGGAAUGUUGUACUGAAGCUAGAUAUGUCUAAGGCAUAUGAUCGGGUAGCAUGGCAUCAUAUUAUUGGUGUUCUUAGGAGAUUUGGCUUCGGGGAAAUAUUUAUUGACCUGGUAUGGCGAUUGAUCUCUAAUAUCUGGUUUUCGGUUAUUAUAAAUGGGGCUUCACAUGGUUUCUUUAAGUCAACGAGAGGACUACGUCAGGGUGACCCAUUAUCGCCUGCAUUAUUCAUUAUUGGGGCUGAGGUAUUAUCUAGAGGUUUAUCUAACCUUUCUAUGCAAUCAGGUUUUGUCAAUUUCAAAGUCCCAUAUGCAUGUCCCUCUAUAACUCAUUUGGCGUUUGCGGAUGAUAUUCUCAUUUUUGCAAACGGAUCGUCCUACUCUCUGAAAGCUAUCAUGCAUGUGCUUGAGGAGUACCAAAGAUGCUCAGGACAGCUGAUAAAUGUGCUAAAAAGUUGUUACUUGGUUCAUCCAUCUUUACCACCGACAAGACGAAGGGUGAUUGAACGUAUCACAAAUUUUACCUGGCAAUCAUUUCCGAUUCGGUAUUUGGGAUUUCCACUUUACUUUGGGAGAUGUAAAUCGUCAUAUUUUGGGGAAGUGUGUCAGUCUAUUCUAGGGAAAAUAAUGUCAUGGAAUCAAGGAUGCUUUCCUUUGGAGGCAAAAUAGUUCUAAUCAAACAUGUGCUAGCAUCGAUGCCACUACAUCUGUUGUCAGCUGCAGUUAUCCCGAAUAAAGUAUUUAGAACUAUAGAAAAGGCCUUCUCGACCUUCCUUUGGGGGUCAUCAUCUGAAGAAUCGAAAUUUCACUGGAUAAAAUGGUCUCAGAUGUGUUAUCCGGUAAAUGAGGGAGGCGUUGGCUUCCGGAGGCUAAAGGACAUCUAUAAAGCUUUCUCAUUCAAGCUUUGGUGGAACUUCAGAAAGGGUUUGUCGUUGUGGGCUGCAUUCAUGAAAGCAAAGUACUGCAGACUGCUACAUCCUUGUCAGGUAGAAAUCAGGACAACAGACUCGGCACUCUGGCGGAGAAUGGUCAAUGUUAGUCGACAAGUGGAGCUCUCUAUGCUAUGGGUUGUCAAAAACGGAGCUUGUCACUUUUGGUACGAUAAUUGGUUGGGAAGUGGUGCUUUGUUCCUCCGAGCGACGGUUGUCCCUAAUCUAUCAUUUGAUAAUGUUUUCAUCAAUGGAUAUUGGGAUGUGAAUAAGUUAUAUCAGACACUGCCAAGGGAAAUGGUGCCCUCCAUUUUAGAGCAUCCGGUUCCGGAAGAAGGGGGUGAAGCCGAAGUCAUUUGGAUGCCCACGACAUCUGGAAAUUUCUCUCUAGCAUCUGCAUUUUCGGAAAUUAGGCAAACCCGCAAUAAGUCUAUGGUUUUUGACAGAAUUUGGCAUCCUCAACUCCCUUUGAAAGUUUCAUUCUUCAUGUUACGAUUGUUGUUGGGGAGGCUGCCUCUACCGGACAGGUUAUGUAAACUUGGCUUUCACUUACCGUCAAAAUGUUUUUGCUGCUAUUCGGCAUCUGAGGAGUCAAUUGAGCAUUUAUUUUCCAAUGGCCAUAUAGCAUCCACAAUUUGGAAUUAUUUUGGAGCUGCAUGUGGACUGGCCUUUCCAGGGUCAUCUUUACGGCCCCGCAUAGUGGGUUGGUGGUUGAGUUCACAGCAUUCUGAGAUACGACGAUAUAUUGGAAGCAUUCUUCCCAGUGUAGUUUGUUGGAAUAUUUGGAAAUCAAGAAAUAAAGCAAUGUUUGAGAAUGUCCACAUGAGUUCGCCUGCCAUUUGUUUUGCCACUUUCUCGGAUAUCCAAAACAUGGUUGAAAUUCAUUUCAAACAAGUUUUCCGAAUACAGUCAUUUUAUGAUUUGUAUGAUUGGCCGUAUUCAGCUAAUAUUGAGUUUAUAUACAAACUUGUUCGUUGGGAAACGAAGGAAUCCGGUCGGUUCAUACUAAAUACGGACGGUUGUUCUAAGGGUAAUCCAGGAUUGGGUGGAGGUGGUGGAGUUCUUCGAGAUUCAAAUGGCAUACCUUUGAUUGGUUUUUCGGCAUAUUCUGGGGAAACUACAUGUCUAUGUGCAGAGGUUCGAGCCCUCCUUAUUGGUCUUCAAACAUGUGUGCAUAGAGGGUUUGGGAAUCUCUGCGUCCAGUCGGAUUCUUUGGUAUUAAUUGGAAUUCUUCAGCAUCGUAUUCAAUGUCCCUGGAAGAUUCGACGUGACAUUAGGCAGAUUUGGCAGUUUGUUAAAGACCCACAUCGUUUUUCGCAUUGUUACAGGGAAGCUAACAAAGUAGCUAAUGCAUUGUCCAACGUGGGAGUAUCUCAUCCAGAGCAUCAAGUCAAGCUAUACGAGUCCUUUAAUACAUUCCCAACUAUGGCUCGUGGGGCAAUUCGCCUUGAUAGAUUAGGGAUGCCAUCAAUUCGGAAAAUUAAGCGUAUGAAGGGCUGAGUAAAAAGGAGAUUUGAAGUGAGUUGGCUAUGAAAUGGGGCAAGGAGGUUUGUCUUUGAUUUAUUGUCUUUAGUGUUGUCUGUUGUACUUUGAAAUGGUCUUUUUCAGUUUGUAAAAUUUGUUUCUAUUAAUAAAAGUGAUACGAAGUUGUUGAAAAAAAAAAAAAAAAGUUAUAGAAAGUUCAUCCAUACUCUAGGUAUAAACUUUAACUAAACAUAAAGAACAAGAUCCAAACUUGUAUUAUAGUUAAACAUGAACUUAAAUACAAAAGAGAGAGCGAUAGGAGAGUAGUUCCCUUGUCACAUGAGCUCCAACUCUUCAUCUUUACUCUUCAAAUCUUCAUCCAAAUCUAACUACAAAAACAAGAAGGAAAAGCUACACUAACUAUACUAUACUGCUCUAACUAAUGAACUAAGAAAAUUCUAAUGAAGACUACAUUUUUGGUGAGUUAUUCUAGCCUUCUAAAGUUGUGAAAAUGAUCUUCAAAGGCCACUAUUUAUAGAGAAUUCAAUCUCAAGGUGAGUUUUUUUUGUCGGCAAAUUUGGCUUUUGAACUCACCAAGAGUUGUUCUCCAAGUUUCCAUACUCUUCUUGGUCAAAUAUAGCCGAAUUUGCUUGUUGGGAUUGAGUUGGAAAGUUGUAUGAACAAAGAAUAAGUUGUAGAGUAAUUUGCAGCGAAAAUGAUGAAUACGCGACCUCGAAAACGCGACAUUAGGUCGCAUAUUGUCUACCCACGUAUUGCUUUUGCAGGUUUGUACUUUUUGGGCAAAAUUCAUCCUUGCUCCGUUUUUUGUCAAAUUUUAACGGAUAUUUUCUUGAUGUUAUAGGCUGAACUACUCUUGUGUAAAACAUGAAAUUGUAGCUCUCUAAAUUAGCUUUCCAAUACAUCAAGAAUCAUCCAAUUUAGAGAUGUGUGGAUUGAUAAAUGACCAACAUACCCUCUACUGGUCAAAACUUUGUUUCAACUUUCGACAAUGAAAAUGUACUUCUGUAUUUCGAUAUUUUAACUAAGAAAACUCAUGAACUAGAUUUCGAUUCUCAUAAAAAUGUAUAUCUAUCUAUUAGCUUCAAAAUGAUACAAGAAUCACCUCAAUCCGAUACUUGUAAUUCAAGAUAUGGUCGAAAUACCACAAGGUGUCAAAGCUGUGAAACAUUUCUUUUUUUGUUCUUGAUUGCAUUUCCUCUCUCGCACUUCAUAUUCUCUUUUUAUCACUUCAAACCAUCAUCAAUCAUCAAUCAUCUUUUCAAAUCACUCCAUUUGAUGAUUGAAUCACUAAACCUACAAAAACAUGAAAUUUUCACCAUUAAAAUCCAUAGAAAUGCAAUUUUCACACUUUAAACCAUAAAAUAUAUAUUUUCACUAAAAACUUAGUUAAUUAGUUACAAAACUAAAUAAAACACACCAAAACUAACUAAUAAAACACACUUAAAGUAUGUAAAAUAUAUACCUAUUAUAUAACAUCCUAAGUAUCCCAUACAUAAUUUUUCGCAAGUAUACUAGUUGAAACUGAGUAUAAGAUAUCAAGAGUCGAACCCACAAAGAAGAUUGUCAAUUAUUGGUGUUUUUUGAACUUCUUUAUUAUUUAAACUAUCACAAGUGCAAGAAAUUAACUCUACACUAUAAAUAUGAGAUAAAAGUAAUAAAAAUAAUAACAUAAAGCUCCUAGAGAUAUGGAAUUCUUUACUAUUCUUGCCAAUGAAAUUACCGAUUAAGUGAAUACUAUUAUUUUAGCUAGUUAUGGCGUAAUUUCCUAUUAUAUGUGAAACCUACUCUUGUAGUGAAUCAACUAUACUUGUAACUAAGUCAUACCUACUCUUGUGGUUAUGAAAUUAACUACAAGUUUAUUUCUUCCAUGAAAUUACAUGAAACAAGUCACUAAAACCACAUAGGUGCGCCUCAACUCUCGUGAGUGAACUUCUUAGGUUUAACACUUCCUUGAAUUAGUAUUAAAUUCCAAUUUUCAUUACAAACGUAACACCUUAAGAUUAUGACAACUAAUGGCCGAUUAAUCAUGAUUAGAAAAGUAACAGUGAUAAGUAACUUGUUCACUUCAUAAACAAAUAACUAAGUAAAUAUCACUAACAAGCUAUAGAAAGUUUAUCCAUAACUCUAUGCAUAAACUUUAAUUAAACAUGAAGAACAAACAUCAAACUUGUAUUAUAGCUAAACAUGAAUUUAAAUACAAAAGAGAAAGUGAGCGAAGAAAUGUCAUUCUUGUUACAUGAGAUCCAACUCUCCAUCUUUGCUCUUCAAAUCUUAUUUAAAUCUAACUACAAAUACAAGAAGGAUAAACUACACUAACUAUACUAAUCUACCCUAACUAAUGAACUAAGAAAAACUAGUGAAGACUACAUAUUUGUGGAGUUUCUCUGGCCUUCCAAAGUUGUCUUGCAAGCCCUCCAAGGGCCCUAUUUAUAAAGUAAUUCAAGCAAAAGACAAAGUGUUAAAUCAUGUUAAGAUUUCCCUUGAGUCUAUAAAUAAGCUAGAUUUGAGUUGUAAAGCUUCUUUGGCGGCUAUCCUAGUCUGUUUCCAACAAAAUUCUUGUAGAAAAAUGGGUCAAAAAGCUUGUGUGAACAAAGUACAAGUUGUAGAGCAAGUUUCAACCUAAAUUGAGGAAUAAACGACCUUGAAAAUGCGACCUGAGGUCACGUAUUGCACCCACGCUUUGCUCUUUUGCAGGUUUGCUCAUCUUUGGUCAAGCCUUCUCUUUGUUCUAUUUUUGGUCCAACUUCAAUUGAUAGUUUCUUGAUGAUGGAGGCUGAACUAACUCUUGUACAGAGCACGAAACUUUUAGCCCUUUGAGUUACUUUCCAAUGCAACAAGAAUCAUCCAAUUUGGAGUUUUGUAGACUGAUAAAUAACCAACAUAUCCUCUACUAGUCAAAACUUCAUUUCAACUUUCAACAAUGAAAAUGCACUUCCGUAUUUUGACAUUUUGACUAAGAAAACUCAUGAACUGGAUUUUGAUGUUUCAUAAAAAUUUAGAUCUGUCUAUUAGUUUCAAAAUGAUACAAGAAUCACCUCAAUCUGAUUCUUGUAAUUCAAGAGAUAGUCGAAAUACCACAAGGUGUCAAAGCGGUAAAACUUUCUUCUUGUAAACUGAGUUGCAUUUCAUCUCUUGCACUUCUUCUUCUCUUUUUAUCACUUCAAACCAUCAUCAAUCAUCGAAUUAUCUUCUCAAUUCAUGCCAUUCGAUGAUUGAAUCCUUAAACCUACAAAAACAUGAAGUUUUUACAAUUAAAAUCCAUAGAAAUGCAACUUUUACCACUUAAAACCAUAAAAUGCAUAUUUUAACUAGAAACUUGGCUCAUAAGCUAUAAAACUAAUUAAAAUACACCAAAACUAACUAAUUAAUAAAAUAUACUCAAAAUACACACUUAUCAACCACAUUUAACAAAUCUCUAAUUGCUUAACUCGAUCAAAAUUAAUUGAAAAACCAAAAUCUAGAUAGUGAAAUCCUAGCGAGGAUAUCCUGCUUGAAGUUAUUUUCUGGUGUUCCUCAUCGUUAAUGGCUUCUACAAUCUCUCUGCCCCCAUUCACACAUCCAUACUCCAUAUUAAUACCAUCUUUACCACCAUGCUUCUCCAUCAUGGCUUCUUUGAUUUUUGCUCGGAGAUAUGCUUCAUAUAAAAUCUUGAGUGGAUUCCUAAAUGCCUUUAGCUUCAUUUGGAUUUUCCAAUCAAAUCAAAAGUUAAAACCAUCAUUAAAAUAAUCCUAACUGAGUUUUGGUUUCAAAGCCAACAUCUCAUUUCUCCACUCUUCAAAUUUCUCAUAGUACUCUACUACGUUAGUUGUUUGUUAGGCUUUUAACGCUCCACCAGGAAGUAAUUCAGCAUUUCAAAGAUUUCUUCAAGGGUCUCCAUAUUGGUUUUUUUUUUAAAUAUAGGUUGAUCAGAAAAGAGAUGAAGAUGGAUAGGGAAGAAGGUGAAUCAGAAGUGAAGAAAAAAUUAGGAAAAAAGAUUUCUAAUCAAUCAGCCAAACCCAAACGGAUCAAAGAAAUCGCUCAGUGUUAUUAAUAACUCAUGUAAGCGUCAAUAUAGAUUGAGAAACAGUGGAGAUAGUAAGAAUGUGAAGAGAAGGAGGGAAACUUGGGGAAGGAGAUAUCAAAAAAGGGGGUAAUCUUCCCAAAUCUCCUGGUGUAAGGAAUAAUCAACAACCUAACUAUUACAAAAGCAAAGCCAGCUAUUUAUUGCUAGUGAGCUAGCUAACUAACAUCUAAAAGGACUACUGCAACUAUAUUCAUGUUCGUUGAACUGGCUCCUAGUGAAAGCAUGCUUCCAAAUUUCUGCCUCUGUCCAUGCCACUUCUUUCCAUUUCCAUGCUUUUCCUUGAUAACACCACUCCUUUUGCUUAGCUCACAUAUUUUCGGCCUCACUGCAUGACAAGAUCUCAAGCCAAGGAUCCUCAGAAAGAUAGAAACUAUGAAGUCUAUACUUCUUGAUCCACUACUAAUCAGACUAGUUAUUACCUAAUCAAACUGUACAGUCUAUAAGAUCUCAACUUAAAAAUAAUGAAAAUUGUAAUGAAUGCAAUUGUUGAGUUGCACGCUACAUCAAUCUCUUUUGAAGCUCCGCUUUUCUAGUUUACAUUUCAUACAGAAGAUGUUAAAGCUAUUAUCUUUGUAGUCCCUUGAGCUGGCUAGAUGAUACUUGGACCUUAUAUAAUGAUUCAAUUAUUUUAUAUUGGUAGGGUUCAUGCUAUGCCUGGGGAUCAUAAAAGGAACUUAGAGGAGCUCUGCAAGAUUAAGUUUGCUCCCCAGUAGGAGGGCAUACAUAGUAUAAUAGAAUUUUUUUUUACUAGUAAUUUUAAUUGUUUGUGUUUUUUUAUUAAUUUUUUUUGUUUCGUUUACAAGAUUGUAGGUGCAAGGUUACACAUAAUGGCACAGGACAUUGCACUAUCCAGUACUUUUAGUAUUGUCAUCGAGUGGAUCAUGAGGUCCAUUUUUUUUUUAAUUGUUUACAAUUUGAUCUUUCUUGAGAUUUCUUUGAACUAAUUACAUUUUUUUCUUUGUUAUGUAGGUUUCAAGGAGGCUAUUCUAGCUGUUGAAGUAGACUUUGAGUUCUAGCUUUUUUUAUUUAGCUUUUAAUGAAUUGCUUUUUUAAUUAGAUAUCUUAACUACUAUAAAGUAGGAGUUUGCAAUUAAGAAAAUAUUGGAUUUGAUUGAGGUGCUCCAAUUAUUCAGGCUCUGGUUGGACCAUUUCUUUGCUGGCAAUGUGGUAAUUUUGAUUGAGAGUUGUGGGAUGUUCUGGUAGUUUGAUCACAUUGUUUAAGUUUGAUAAAUGAGAAUUCACUUUUCCCAAAAUAUAUGAGGCACGGAAAAGAGAAAUGUAUAAAAUUUUAAAAACACACUUAGAUAGGAGAUAUGACAUUUUAAAAACUUAGAAAGAGCCACCUAAUUAUGGAAGAGAAUUUUAGGACAAUUUUAGUGGUGGUAGGUGAUGGAGGUUGUUGGUGGUCGAUGAAAGAUGGUAGAGGAGAGGAAAGGCGAUUUUCUAGAGGGGAAUGUUUUUAAUGAUUUGUAUAAAUACCAAUAUUUUUUUUAAAACAUCGAUACUGAGUUACAGUAAAAUUUUAGAUAAAUAUCCAUAACACACCAUCCAAAAAAACCCAUAUAUUUUUUGGGAAUAUAAGUUAAAAUAUCAUAAUGCUAACAUAAAGGAAAUUUAUUCAGCCAUAUUUAUAGUUUUUAACAUUAUUUGUUAAUAAUAUGGAAAUCUAGGUACUUACACUUAUUUUAUCACUUGAUACAAGAUUAAAAAUGCAUGAAUGAUCUAAAGAAAUUUAUAUAAUAUUUGAAAAACUAAACUGUCAAAACAUUAUGUUAUUCUAUAAAAUAUAGACAUAUAUCACAAAAUUCUAGUUUCUAUAUAAUAUUCUAGGAAACCCUAUGUCUCUCAGGAGAUCUCGCUCAAGCUUGCAGUUUUGAGUUGUAAAUGCAUGCACAAGUGGUCCUAAUAGAUUUAAUUGCUAAAUUAGUCUCAAAUAUUAUCUUAUCUUAUGAAUCUAUGAAAUCUAGCUAUUUCUUUUGGAGCUUUUUCUGGACAGGUGAAUUAGGUACUCUUAUCAUAUUUUUUUCUUCAGAGUAAGCGUUUUUAUUUGAUAUGAGUUAAUAGCGUACUGCAUUGUUAUGUUUGCAUUUUAUUGCUCAAAUUCAGUAUUUGAUUCUUUGCUAUUGAGUUUUAAGCAACUUUUUCUUUAUAAUUUCUACAUUUAGUUUAGGUUUCCUGAUUCAAACUUUACGUUUUUAAUAUUUUUUUUAAGUAUAUAUAAAUAAACAAAGAAAGUAAUGCAAUUUUCCCUAGCAUAAAACACAAACCCAAAUAAUCAAAAUUUGGUCCAAGGACUUCAUUAAUCAUUCUCUAGGCUUCUAUACAAAUCAUUAUGUAUUAUUCUUUAGCAACAAUUCCUCCAAAAUCAACAUUGUCCGGUAGCAACACGAAAUGAUCUGGAUUCGUAUUCAAUGCCAGUAGGCACCACAAUAACCCCAACUCCAUGGUUCCCAUUGCCAUCAACUAAAUGAUAAAAAAUUCAUUGUGCAGCAAACAUAAUAAGAGAAAUUUCAAUUCUAUAUUGUAUAUGAGCAAGAAAAUGUCCGAGCAAAUCCUAGAGAUUUCUCGCAAUUGGAAGACUCCAAAGACCACAGUUGCGUGGGAUAUCCUACAUUAACAUUUACAAUAAUGACUUACUAUGGAUUUGUCAGUUUAUACACACCUCUAUUAUAAAAUCUUGAAUAUCAAUCACUUUGUCCAAUUUGUGAAACAAUCAAAUUCCAAUGACAUUAUUUUAGAUAGAAAGAGAAAGGCAGAGUCUUGACAAAGAAAACCUCCCUGUUAAUACCAUUCGGAUGCAUAAACAAGUAUAUCUAAAAUGGUUAAUAAUAAACAAAAUUCAAACAUCUUACUUAACAAGAUAUGUAAAAUUUCUUUUCUGAAAUUGAUUCAGAGGAAUCCCUUCUUCUUUUGAGCACCUAAAUCAAGAGAUUGUCAUAUAUGCAAGUCAAGUAUACAAGAUAACAGGAAAUUCUUAACUCAUAGAGGAUAUACUAAUCAAAGGUUUUAUAAAUCAAAAUAUUUUAGGAUUUCGUUGAAUAUACUCUGGCUUAUCCAAUAUCAAGGCUUUGUCAUUAGCAAAACCCGAUGAUCAAAGUAGUGUAAUCCAAGUUUCAAGUUUGUAUCUUUUGGCAGCUAAGGGGAAGAAACAACUCCAACAUAUUCUUCAUCGGCAGUUUCAAGCAACUAAGAUGGUGCAUCUCUUCUUUAGGAUUGGUCGACGAAGAACAAGAAAUCUGAAAAAAGUAACUAAAUGACAAAGCACAUCAAAAUAAAGAUAAGCUCCAAUCCCAAAUCCAUAUUCCUUCCCUCACCAUAGAAGGAUACAAAAGACAAGGCAAGAGAAUGAAGAAGGGUGUGACUGAAAAUUCAGUGAGCAACUUCUUUCGAGUAAAAAUUCAAACAAAGACUAUAGAAAAAGACAACUACACAAAAGGUGGAUUCUAUAAUCUUCUAAAAACAUGACGCAAAAGCCUUAGUUGUUUUCUUUUAAAUGCUAAAGUAUUUAGUCCUUUAGCUGUUGGUAAUGAAUUUAACUAGAGUGAACGAAAGGAUUCUACAUUACCAUGAAUGCAUAACCACAAAGUUAGCAAACCACUAAUACUAUUAGCAAGAAAGCUAACCAAUGAGGAAAUAAAAUAAAUAAAUCCAAGUUAAUAUACAGGGAGAUAAUGUGGCUUGUUGAAAAAUAAAGGUAAAUUACUAAUAAUCCCCUUGUGAUUUAUCUUUACCACAUAACCCCUCGAGCAUUUCAAAAUAUUCAUUUCUCCCCCUAUAGUUUCUAUAAAUUAGAAAUUUAACAAAAAAAAACUUAUGCAACGUCAUUACUUGAAAUACCAGUAGUGCUCUUAUUUAAAUGCUAAAUCAAAGGACAACUUAACCACCUUGUAUAAAACUAUAUAGGCAUUAUGUGGAUAAAUAUAAAUAUUAUGGGAGUUAAAAUGGAUAUUUAUACAAAUUAUAGGAGGCUUAAGUGGAUAUUAUAAUUUUUCACGUACACUUUUAAAGCUCAUAUGGUCUUAAUGCCAUAAUUGAUUAUACAUUCCAUUCAUUUUCCACUUUACAUAAAAGUACAGGGAGUUAUGUGUCCAUUUUAAAACUUUAAUGGGAUCAUUUGAUGUUAUGCAAAACCAUAGGGGGUUAUAUGUAAUUUUUCCAAAAAUAAACAACUAUUGUCACUCCAUCCGGCACAUACAAGUAAAUGGAGAGACACGAAAUCCUACCUCCAAUCAAAUACAUGAAGAAAACAAACUUCCAAGAUUCAAUUUUGGCAAAGGUAGUUGGUUUUGUAUGAAACAAAAUUGGUAAUUCCCCUAAUAGUUUGACUGCCUACUCAUGGCAGUAAUACUAUCUUACGUUUUGCUUGCUUCAUAGCCUAAACCCAGAACAUUAUCAACAGUAGGUUGAAGUUUUCUUCGCCAGCCUAUAAAUCAUUCAAUUAACUUCCAAUGAGGUAAUUUCUGCCUCCUUUCAAGGAAUGACAUCACUUUUCCAGAAGAAUUCCCUUCUCCCCAAAUGAUGGAUUCAUUUGCAUAAUAUUUUCCCAUUCACCAAUGAAUCAUUCUCGCAGGCCUUUUUGUCGUGUAAUCGACUUGGAUAAAUGGUCUCUUUUCUAGAAGAAUUCCCAUUUCUCCAAACGAUCGAUUUGUUUGCUUAAUAUCUCUCAUUCGCCCGUGAAUCAUUCUUGCAGGCCUUUUUGACGUGGAAUUGACUUGGAUAAAUGGCCUCGACAAAAUUCUUGUGUCUUGCAGGUCUGUACAUGCGGAAGGGAUGCCAGCCUAACGAAGGGAAUUAAAAGUCUGUCUAAAUGAAAGGGAGACCGAAGUCUGACUGUAGUUUCGACGAAGCUAGAGCAUCUACUAUAGAAUUUAUUUCCCGAUAGAUAUGAGCCAAAACCACCAACUCUAUCAAUAGCGACUGUAUAUGCCCGGCAAUGUUACAUAUGGGCCAACUUGAAGAACGCUUGGAAGAAACCACACUAACCAAAACACUAGAGUCCACCUCAACCACAAAGCCCUUAAUAUUUCUUUCUUGACAAAUAAGUAAACCCACCAACAACUACAAAGCCUCCAGAUAACAUUUUGUUCCCCAAACUCUUUAUAAAACGGAAAAAACAAAUUACCCUACGCCGACCAAACUAAACCGCCACAAAAAGUUCCCUCCAUUGACAUGCUAGCAUCCGUAUUCAGUUCGAAGGAGUUCAUCCAAGGCUUCACCCAAGCUACGAUGUGAGGCUGAACCAAUCUCCUCUUGAGCUUAACAUUCUUUCCCAAACACAAUCUGUAUCACCUCUAAAGAAUUGCUGCUUCAACAGCUUGCCUGCUCCCAACUGAUCAACAAAGUUACAAACCUAGAAGAUUAUAUGCUCAGACGACAUGGUCGAGCCCUAAAAGCAUGCUUGAUUUCUUGAUCUCCAAAUAAACCACAAUACCAGCAGAGGAAUAAUUACACGAAUAUGAUUCCAUGCCACAAAAUAAUCAGAGAAAAACCAAGAAGCAAGUUUAGGAGAAACCCUACUACACUGGUCCGAGAUCCCAAAAAGAUAAGCAAAAUAUCGCCACACAUCAGACGCCACUUUGCUAUUGUAAAAAUGGUUCAGAACUACUUGUAGGUCCAGUAAAUGAAAUUAGCUUGUACAAUAACUUAGUGUGUUUGUCCUUGACAGUUUCAGGUUGGAUAUGCAUGAAUUUGCAUUUGAUGACAGUUUAUAGUCUUUAUGCUUUUUGGAAUUGGGCGCGACAUCUUUGUUGUCUAUUUGAACUCUUGAUGCUAGAUCUUGAUGUCCCUUAUUUAACUGUGUUUGGUGUGAGAACCCUCAUUUUUAAAAUACAAUUUCCCCAAACUACAUGCCUUGCACCAAGAUUUAAACCACCUCUUAUAUGCCCUAGCAUUAUAUUUUACAAUGUGUUACAACAAAUCCCUUGUAAUGACCCUUACUUUAAAACACAAUUUUCUUAUUUACAUGCCUUAUUAUAAGAUCUAAACCAUUUAAUAUAUGCCCUUACAAUAUAUUUCCUAUGUAUUAUAAUAAUUUCCAUGCAUUACAUUUCAAUUCAUUUUACUUGAAGUAAAAUUUUUUCUUGAGCUAGGUUGUAAAUAAUUCACCACUUGUAAUUGUCCAAGUGAUCUUUUAUUAGUGGUUGGAACUUUACAUGUAGGAUUAGAGGUGUUAAAUAUGUAUUGGUACAUUUGGAAAGGUUAGUAUGUCAUUAGUCAAAGAUUAAGAAAGGAUUGGACAAGGAUGGAGCCAAGUGGCAAAACCCUAGCCAUGGAUCUUGUUUGACCAAGGGAUUAGAAAGAAUUUAAACCAAAAUUGGCCCUUUUAUUUCCUCCUUGUGGCCGACUUUCAUGAAGCUUAGAGAGGAAGAGAGAAACUCCAUUUUCCUUGCUUUCUAACCCUAGUAAAUCAAGAGCAAAAAUCAAAAGAGAAAGAUCUUGAGUGGGUUGAGAAACUUUCCUUUCAUUCCUAGUGGUUGAUCCAAGCUUGAAGCUUCCAUCUUGGUGGAUAGUUUGGUGACCUAAGCAACUUGUAAGAGAGGUAAAUGACCUUUAAAUUUGGGGGUUAUGAUGUUAUAUCAUCUACUUUAACUUUUCAUGGUGAAAUACAAGUUGUUUUGGUUGAGAUUUGGGGUUAAUCCCUUGAAUUAAACAAGUAGUAGUUAAGCUUGUUAGUAUGCCUACCAAGUGUUUGAUGAAAUGCCUAGCCCUUGUUCAUGUGUGUGUAUGAGGUAUUAACAUGUUUUGAACCCCUUUUUAGUAGAUCUAAUACUUGGUAUGUGAUUUAAAUGGAAAUUAUGAAAGGUUGAAAGUUAGAAAAGUUGGGGAGGUGCUGUCCGAAAAUUUCAAGGGCUUGCUGCCCUGUUUUGCUUUGAUAAUUUCGUGCUUAAUUUGGCUACAAGUGUGAGGGAUAUAUGUUGGGUUAUGUGUGUGGAGGUUGUCUACAAAAAAUUAGCCAAUUUGGUUGGAUAAAUCUUGAGUUAUUAUCAAAGAGGCAAAACUGGACUAGGUCCAGGAAUUUUCUGACCAGUGAUCUUGUGAAGGUCAUAACGUUUUACUCAAUGAUCGGAAUUUAGUGUCGUUUGUGGCAUUUGAAAGUAGACUCUUAGAGCUUUAAUAUGGUACCAGGCUCAUUUUCUGGUUCGUUCCGAGCGAUUCGUGGCGAGUCUUGAAAGUUGGCCGCCCGGUUGUUACUGUUCAUCCGAGACUGUCCAGGAAAUUCAUUUGGAUGCUUAAUUUUGAACCACUUACGUUUGGAUUUUGGAAAUGGUUUCUUCCACACAAAUAUAUCUUUGUGAACAUAGUUUCUAACGGCACUGAUGGAACCUAAUUCCGACUUUUCUACAGUGAAUUAUAACUGUUUUUCCGAGACUGCCGGGCAAGACUGAUUAAUCCGAAUAAGGAACCUUCAAGUCUAAAUGAAACAUUUCUUUUGCCGAGCUUUCAUGUACACACUAAACUUAUUUUCUCAUGAACUUUUACCAUGUUAUAGACCUUAUUGCAUGCCGAAUUAAGUAGCCCAGACUACCCACUCGGUUUCUUAAUGAACCUAUACUUUAGUAAGGAACGAAUCUAAUUGUUAAUGAUUUCACUCAUUGACCUAGGUUUGGGAAAUGAAGGUGAUCGUAACUGAGACGUUUGACGUUGAUUACUACUUUUGCUUGACAGGUGAGUGUUCCACUACCUGCUACCUAUUAUCUGAAUAUUUGAAAUACUUGAUUUAUGACUGUUGGAGCCAAUACUGUUUUGAUAAAAUGGAGGCGAGCGUGUACUUUAUCGCACUCGACCUCACUUGUUUUCCAAUGAGGCUCUGUAUACUGUUAUUAUGAGAUGUGAUUUCUCUAUAUAUGACCGUGUUUAAGUUGUUUGGGUGAUAUCCCAUCAACUACUGCUACUGUUUGGGUACCCAACCUCUUAGGUGAGUCGGUUGUAUCGAGCCAGCAAGGGCUUGGCCGAGAAAGCCGAUAAACCUUGGGGACUGAUGUUUGGAGGUCCCUGGUGAAGUAUAGCCAUUGUGCUUGCUUGUUGUGUUGCCCAGCACCACCAGUGGUAAAAUCCUCGACUUGAUCCUGUUUCUUUGGAAUCUUGAAUUCCUGGUAUACUCGAGUAUUACCAAACUACUGUUAUGGAAUGCGGGCCCGGUAGGGGGUUGUUUGGUGGACGGAGACUGGUGAAAGUGGUGUUCUACGGACCCUUUUAUACUGUGCAUACAAGUAUUGACGGAGUGUCAAUAGGAGGCAAUUAUGAUCAAGCUCAAGUGGAUCUUGGCUUUUGAAAGCCACCUGUAUCCUUGAAUUGAACUAUGAUUAAACUGUUAUUCUACUGUACGGUGUUUAUUUGAUUAUUUUGUGACCUUAUGUGACUAUAUGUUUACUUGUUUUACUUGGAAUCUCACUGGGUUUUAGCUCACCCCAUUCCCUUUGUUUUCCUUAACAGAUCGGGGAUGGAUUGAUCAAGAGCUUUCUUAGCUUUAUUUUGUUUUGAACUUGUAUUUUGAGAUUGUAACCUUUUGUUUAAGGAGACCUUACUUUUGACUUCCGUAAGCUUGAAUCUAUAAGUUCGACUUAUGUUAUGUAAGUUUAUGUGUGGAGUGAUAAGUUGACAUUUAAUUAUAUGUAUGCUAAACUUUUAGAUUGUUGGUGUAGUGUUUAUGUUUAAUUGGGGUUACACUCCCGUGAAUGGAAGAUAUCUCAUCCACUUCAUUUGAGUUAUUAUCACUUUGAUCGUCUGAGUCCCGGCGCGAGUUGGGCAGGCAGUCCGCUGAUACCCUAGGGUUCGCCCUAGGGAGAGGUGGGGCUGUCACAUUUGGAAUAAUAAUGUUGAUUGAUCUGAACCUUGGGUAUGUGAUGAUAGAUAAGUAUUUGAUUUGUUUUAGGAUAAAUUAUAUAUAACUCCCCUAUGGUUUCACCUAUUAUUAUAUAACUUCCCUAACGUUUAAAAAUAUCCACUUCGCUCCCUAUGGUUUCAUAUACAGUGAAAACUUGAGAGAAAAUAGUGUCUAUGACGUUGUUAAUUGAAAUAUGAGUAGUACCCUUACUUAAAUACUAAAUAGAAAAAUGACAUAACCAUCUUGCAUAAAACCAUAAGGAGAUUAAGUAGAAAAAUACAAAAAUUUACAAGAGGGACAAAGUGAAUAAUCCGGUAAAUUAUAGGAAGUUAAAUUGAUAGUAUGAUUCUUAGCACAUUUGAUUCAAUUGCCUUAACCUAUGGUGCAUUACGUCCAUUUUUCACUUCACAUGAAACUAUAGGAGCAUAUUUAGAUAUUUUAAAACCUUAGGGGAUCAUCUAACGUUAUAUAAAACCACAAAAGGUUAUAUGUAGUUUACCCUUAGUUUUACUAAGUGGUUAGGGAUUUGAUAGCAAAAUUUGUUUCAUUUGUAUCAGGUUGUCAGGGAUGUCAAUAGGUUGGAUCCAAACUAGAAUUACCAAGGUCCAUAUUCGGAUCCACCCCGAAUAGGUCUAAAUAUAUAGUUCCAAACCUAAAACUAUAAUUUUAAUGAAUAUACAGAAAAUCUUUUUUCUUUUUCUAAAAAAAUUUAGUAACAAAUUUUAAUAAAUAUAUAAUUCUUUUAUUUAAAAUAUUUAUGCUAAUUGGAUUAGGGUUCAAAAUGGGUCAGAACAUGUAAAUUUAUAUUCGAUCCAUUUACCUUAUAGAUCAAACAGAUCUAGGUAAAUGGAACUGCUAUCUAUUCCGGAUUUGAAAAAAUGGACUAGCUCCUGGUCAGGUGAAAUACCGGUCCCAAAUAUUAUAAGACCAAAACUACUAUACUCUACCAAACAAACUUGAAUAUAUUUUUCUUGUUAUUAAUAGCUGAAAUUGACAAUGCGGGUUCUGAAGGAAGUUUAUUAGGGGCUAAAAAUGGGGUAUUUGAAUAUGUGAAACAGCGUGGAAGACAUGUGAUUGAGUUUAUCUGGAAAAAUCCUAAAGAGACGAAGGAGAGUCCAAAAAAUAUUAGAGAGAUUCUUUUUCAGGAUCCUGAUAAGGAUUUUUUUGUAAGGUAAACUUUCUGAAAUUGUUUUCUUUUUUAGAUUCAGUAGCAAUUUGUUGGUGACUUGCAUGUGCUGAUGUGCUGGAAUACUUUUUAAUCAAAACUUUCUUAAUAAGUUUCACGUUGUAGCUUAUGAUUGAGCCCAACUAAAAGUUAAGGGAGUAAUAUGAAGAUUCCACAUUGUUUGCCUGGGAUGGGGGUAGGGCAACAGAUGAAUGGGUUUGACCUUAUAAGAUCUAUCAUGGUGUCAGCCAAAAUUGGGAAAAUUUAAUGAACUGAAGCUAUGAUAAAGGAAAUAACAGCUAACUCGAACAUCAAAGGAAUAGCCCAGUGUUUAAUAUUCCUUGUCUAUAGAGCCUUGUUGCCAAGCUAGCUCACCUAUAAGCAAUCCAUAGCUAAGCCCUUGAGAUAACACAAUCGUUGUGAGGCAAUAUAUCAAACACUUGGUUUAUAGCAUUUUCCUCUUGAUAGUCCCUUGCUGAUGUUUCAUGUUGGUUCUCCUCUAAAAAUUCCAGUGGAGUCCUUUGAGACAAUUCAUCAAACAUGUGGCUGACUACACUUUCAUCCUUUAAGUUAAUGAUUAUUUCCUUAUGUUCAGCCUCCAUAACCUCAUUUUCUUUCAUAAGCUGCUCUCCUUUCGGUAAAUCAAGAGCAGAAUCAUGGUCCUUUACAACUAAUGGUUCUUUUCCCUCUCUUCUACUUGAAACCCAUCAUUUGCAAAUAUUCUCACUGCCAAAGAAACCUGGUUUCCUUGUUCAAUUUCACUAGAAUUUCUUUCGAGCAAUUCAUCAAGCACCUGCAUGGCAUGUUCGUUUGGUGGAUUAUUGAUAGAUAAAAUAGUUCCCUUACCCAUGAAUUCAAUCCUAUUUGAAGCUAUUUUCCGGUGUUCCUCAUCAUCAAUGGCUUGUACAACCUCUCUACCCCCAUUCACACAUCCAUACUCCCUACUAAUACCAUCUUUACCACCAUGCUUCUCCAUUACGGCUUCUUUGAUUUUUGCUCGGAGAUAUACUUCAUACAAAAUCUUAGGUGGAUUCCUAAUUCCCUUUAGCUUUAUCUAGAUAUUCCAAUCAAGCCCAAAGCUAAAACCAUCAAUAAAGUGAUCCCCACUAAGUUCUGGUUUCAAAGCCAACAUCUCAUUUCUCCACUCUUCAAAUUUCUCAUAGUACUCGACUACGUUAGUUGUUUGUUAGGCUUCUUAUGCUCCACCAGAAAGUAAUUCAGCAUUUCAAAGAUUUCUUCAAGGGUCUCCAUAUUGCUUUUUUUUUAAUAUAAAUAUAGGUUGAUCAGAAAGACAUGAAGUCGGAUAGGGAAGAAGGUCAAUCAUAACUGAAGGAAAAAUUAGGAAGAAAGAUUUCUAACCAAUUAGCCAAACCCAGACGGAUCUUUGCUGCUCUGAUACCACUAUCAUGGUGUCGAGCUAAAACUGGAAAAAUUUAAUGAACUAAAGCUAUGAAAAAGGAAAUAACAACUAACUCGAAGAUCAAAAGAAUAGCUCAGUGUUAUUAAUAACUCAUGUAAACGUCAAUAUAGAUUUAGAAACAGUGGAGAUGGUAAGAAGGUGAAGAGAAGGAAGGAAACUUGGGGAAGGAGAUAUCAGAAAAGGAGUAAUCUUCCCAAAUCUUCUGGUGUAGGGAAUAAUCAACAACCUAACUAUUACAAAAGCAAAGUCAGCUAUAUAUUGCUAGUGAGCUAACUAACUAACAUCUAAAAAGACUACUGCAGCUAUAUUCACGUUUGUUGAACUGGCUCCUAGUGAAAGCAUGCUUCCAAAUUCCCGCCUCUGUCCAUGCCACUUCUUUCCAUUUCCACGCUUUUCCUUGAUAACACCACACCUUUAGCUCCGCUCCCAUAUUUUUAGUCUCACUCCAUGACAAGAUCUCAAGCCAAGGAUCCUCAAAAAGACAGAAACUAUGAAGUCUAUCCUUCUUGAUUCACAACCUAAUUAGACUGGUUAUUUCCUUACUAAUCAGACUGUAUAGUAUAUAAGAUCUCAACUUAAACAUAAUGAAUAUUAUGAUGAAUGCAAUAGUUGAGCUACAUGCUACAUCGAUCUCUUUGGAGUCUCUGCUUUUCUAAUUUACUUUUCAUAGAGAAGAUGUUAAAGCUAUUAGCUUUGUAGUCUCUUGAGCUGGCUAGAUGAUACUUGGACCUUAUAUAAUGAUUCAAUUGUUUUAUAUUGGUAGGGUUCAUGUUUUGCCUAGAGAUCAUAAAAGGAACUUAGAGGAGCUCUGCAAGAUUAAGUUUGAUCCCCAGAGGGAGGGCAUGCAUGGUAUAAUAAAAAAAAUUUUACCACUAAUUUUAUUUUAUUUUUUGUUUCAUUUACAGGAUUGUAGGUGCAAGGUUGCACAUAAUGGCACAGGACAUUGCAUUAUCCAGUACUUUGAGUAUUGGCGUCAAGUGGAUCAUGAGGUCCAUUUUUUUUAAUUGUUUACAAUUUGAUCUUUUUUGAAUUUUCUUUUGACUAAUUACAUUUUUUCUUUGUUAUUUAGGUUUCAAGGAGGCUAUUCCAGCUGUUGAAGUAGAUUUUGAGUUCCAGCUUUUUUUAAUUAGCUUUUUAUGAAUUACUUUUUUUAAUUGGAUAUCUUAACUACUAUAAAGUGGGAGUUUGCAAUUAAGAAAAGAUUGGAUUUGAUUGAGGUGCCCCAAUUAUUCAGGCUUUGGUUAGACCAUUUCUUUGCUGGCAAUGUAGCAAUUUGGAUUCAGAGUUGUGGGCUGUUCUAAUAUUUGAUCGUAUUGGUUAAGUUUGAAAUGAGUUAUGGAAAAGAGAAAUGUAUAAAAUUUUGAAAGGACACUUAGAUAGGAGGAAAUCACCUUUUAAGAAUUCAAAAAGAGCCAUCUAAUUAUGGAAGAGAAUUUGAGUGCAAAAUAAUUAUGGAAUGAGAUUUUUCAAAAUUGACGGGAGAGGCAAAUAAGUUGCAAAAUUAAAUAUAUCGUAAAAUAUCAAGCGUAUUUUACCAUUUUAAAAACUUAGUGGCAAUUGCCUAGGCUCAACCUUAAGACUAAAUAGUUUCACCCCUACUAGUAAUCAAAAUAUUAGAAUUGUCAAACACAUUAAUAAUACAAAACAAUAGCAACUAUUAAAGAAACAAGCAAAAAUCGUAGGUAAAUUGCAUGUAUACCACUUUAUUUGUUUUGAAACUAUAGCCCCCCUUUGAAUGGGCAACUUUUUGUCUAUUUUAGGAAACUUAAGUUUGUUUAAAAUACCAAUUACAGUGAACUUUAAAAUACUAGCAAGUUUAGAAAAAUAUAAAAAGAAAAGUAAAUUAAAUACUAGUGGUGGUAGGUGAUGGAGGUUGUUGGCAGUCGAUGAAGGAUAGUAGUUGAGGGGAAAGGUGGCUUUCUAGAGGAGAAUGUUUUUAAUGAUUUUGAUAAAUACCAACAUAUUUUUAAGACAUCUAUACUAAGUUACAGUAAAAUUUUAUACAAAUAUCCAAACACAUCAUCGAAAAGAAGCCAUAUAUUUUUUGAGAAUGUAAGUUAAAAAUCAUAAUGUUCAUAAAGGAAAUUUGCCUAGCCAUAUUUAUAGUCUUAACAUUAUUUGUUAAUAAUAUGAAAAUCUAGGUACUUACACUUAUUUGAUCACUUGAUAGAAGAUUAAAAAGGCAUGAAUGAUCUAAAGAAAUUUAUAUAAUAUUUGAAAAACUAAACUGUCAAAACAUUCUGUUAUUCGAUAAAAUAUAGACAUAUAUUACUAAAUUCUAGUAUCUAUAUAAAAUUCUAGGAAACCUUAUGUGUCUCUUAGGAUCUCGCUCAAGCUUGCAGUUUCGAGUUGUAAAAGCAUGCACUAGUGAUCCUAAUAGAUUUAAUUGAUAAUUUAGUCUCAGAAAUAUUGUCUUAUCUUAUGAAUCUAUGAAAUCUAGCUAUUUCUUUUGGAGUUUUUUCUACACAGGUGAAUCGGAUUCUCUUAUCAUAUUUUUUUUCUUCAGAGUAAGCGCUCUUAGUUGAGAUGAGUUAAUAGUGUACUGCUUUGUUAUGUUUGCAUUUUAUUGCUUUAAUUCACUAUUUGAUUUUUUGCUAUUGUGUUUUAAGCAACUUUUUCUUUAGGCUUUCUACAUUUAUAUUAGUUUCUUGAUUCAAACUUUACGUUUUUUAUUUUUUUUUAAGUAUAUACAGAUAAACAAAGAAAGUAAUGCAAUUAUCCCUACCAAAAAACAUGAACCCAACCAAUCAAAAUAUGGUCCAAGGACUUCAUUAAUCAUUCUCUGGGCUUCUAUACAAAAUCAUUAUGCACUAUUCUCUAGCAACAAUUCCUCCAAAAUCAACAUUGUCAGGUAGCAACACGAAAUGAUUUGGAUUCAUAUUCAAUGCCAGUAGACACCACAAUAACCCCAACUCUAUUGUUCCCAUUGCGGUCAACUAAAUGAUAAAAAAUUCAUUGUGGAGCAAAUAUAGUAAGAGAAAUUUCAAUCCUAUAUUGUAAAUGAGCAAGAAAAGGUCCGAGCAAAUCCUAGAGAUUCCUUGCAAUUUGAAGACUCUAAAGACCACAGUUGCGUGGGAUAUCCUACAUAAACAUUACAAUAAUGACUUACUAUGGAUUUGUCAGUUUAUAAACACCUCUAUUAGAAAAUCUUGAAUAUCAAUCCCUUUGUCCAAUUUGUGAAACAAUCCAAUUCCAACGACAUUAUUUUAGAUAGAAAGAGAAAGGCAGAGUCUUGACAAAGAAAACCUCCUUGUUAAUACCAUUCGGAUGCAUAAACAAGUAUAUCUAAAAGGGUUAAUAAAAAAGAAAAACAAAAUUCAAACAACUUACUUAACAAGAUAUGUAAAUUUUUUUUUAUGAAAUUGAUUCAGAAGAAUCCCUUCUUCGUUUGGGUACCUAGAUCAAGAGUGACGAGUAUAGGGCAUGCAUAUAACAAUUAAAUUAAACUCAUUUCAAAAUCAAGAGUGACAAGUACAGGGUAUGCAUAUAACAAUUAAACUAAUUCCAAAAUUAAGUUUUACAUUUAUAAAAUUCUAAAUACUCCACAUGUGAUUUUCUUGAAGUAUACGGGUUGAGAUCGAGUAUAAGGUAUUAAGAGUCGAACCUACAAGAAAGAUUAUCAAUUACAUAAUAAAUAUAAAAUUCAAAACUUACAUAUUAACUAAACUUAGAAUCAAUUACAAAACAUAAAGAAUUGAGAAGGUAGAGUAACCCUUGUCAUAUUGUGACGCCCCCACUUCUCCCAAGGGCGAACCCAAGGGUAUCCGCGGAACGCCUGCCCAACUCUUGCCAGGACUCAAGACAAAUCGAUUCAAGCUUAACAAUAUAUAACAAUUUAUACUAGUCUAAUAAGGAAAAGUCACUUCCAUAAUCAAAUAUCCAAAUCUUACACCACGAGUUCAUAAUACAUCAGUUACCCAAUUCUUACAUCAGGAUACAAAAGAUACAUCAAUUCCCAAAUAUAUACAACAUCCAAAAGUUGUCUAGACAAAUACAUCCAAUAUGCCAAAUCAAAAGUGCAUCAAGUUUCAAAAUACAACAAUUAUAAGUCGACUAAACAAUUAUAACCAAGGUACUAAUAAAAAGAGUAAUCUAGUCGACUUUUCUUCAAAAUCUUCCCAUCCGGUCCUGUUAAGGAAAACAAAUCUAACGGGGUGAGCGAAUGCUCGUGAGGCCAAGAAACACACAUGCAAGCUCGUAUUCCAAAUAGCAACAACAAAUACACUGUAAGUAAAGCUAUAAAGUUCGAAUAAUUCACAUUUCCAGUAAGAAAAGUAGACAGAAACAAUUCAAGGAUACUGUAGCUCUCAGGAGCUAAAUUCCACGUAGUCGAGCCAUGGUCUUGAUCAAAUUCCAUGUUGAUACUCCGUCAAUCACAUAAGUAUCAAAUCCUGUAGAUACACCACUUUCUUCGAAUCCCGUCACCGUUACACUCUUUUACCGGGCCCGCUCAUCAAAGUUUUGAUAAUACUCGAGUAUAUAAUGGCAAUACUGCCCGAGUAAUGCCGAGCAAGAUCUCUCCAAUAGAUCAUACUCUACGAAUAUCUCAUGCUUUGCUAAACUUACCGACCAACCCCAUACUGGCUCGAUUCGCAAAGUAACCAACGAGUUUGGGAAUCCCCCGAAUACGAAUACGAAUAUAAGUCGAUAAGCAAUGAUCAAAUCGACGACUCCGACUAGGAAUCACAAAUACAAAUCAUAUAUACGAAUCAUAUCCAUAUCACUACAUACAAGUCGAAUAUGAAUUCACAUAGCAAAAUUCGAAUAUAAUUUCAUUUGAAAGAGAACGAGUGCGGUAAAGUACACACUUGUCUCUAAAUUUCCAAAUUCAAAUAACGGAUAAGAAGCAGUAAACACUUAGCAACAAAUUCAUGCACUUGACACUCACCGAGUGAUUCAAGUAGCAAGUUCAAAUGAUGGUUUAGGCGUCUCUCGUGAGAUCCUCUGGAAGGUCCUCUUGAGCGCCUGAGCAUUUAAUAAUAAACUAUCACUUAUAAAUCCAAUUAAUAAGGAAGAUUACACUCUUGUACAAUCUAAGAAAAUUUCACCAGAAUGAGCCUUAAUUAUUCGUAAAUUGAGGCUCAAAAGUGGAGUUUUAAAACACAAGCAAAAUCUGAUUUACAUCCUUAAAAUCGAGUGUAAAACGAUCAAGUGAUAUUAAAAGGGAAAAGAGAGUUUGAAAAACUCCAUUUCCCUUAAGUUAGAAUUUUUCAGAUUUAUUACACUUACUUUGAAAAAUCGUAUCUCAUUCUUUACACGUCCAAAAUUAGAAAAUUUGGUACCAUUGGAAACUACUUCCAAAGUAUUAAAAGUUUCUAGAAUACACUUUUCCAUGAUCCCAAAUGGAAGGUAUCCAAAAUUUGACUCAAAGUUGCUGUUCUGGGGCAUUGAAGACAGGUUUAGGUUGGUUUUUGGCCAACUUUGAAAAUUUGGAAAAAUUCAUUUGAUCCGAACUAACCUCUGAAAUUUGGAACUCUAUUAGAUUUGCAAUCCAAGUUUAAAACAAAACAAACGGAACAAGAUUCGGAGUUUUGAGCACCAAGAUAUGGUAGCUCAAAAUUACUAAAAAUUUCCUUGUUAAUCAAGGGUUUUCCAAACUCAAAUCAUGAACUUUGGAAGUUCAGUUGAGCAGCGAAACGGAGUCGGAAUGGCACCAAAUUUAGCAGUAUAAUACUACCAUAUAGGGACUAUUCCUCUGCCAAUUUUCAUAGAAAAAUAUGUACGGAAAGUUGGCUAAUAAAACCACAAAAGUCCCAAGAAGUUCCUCGGCAAAUCUGCCUUGGACUUCCGUUUUUUUUCCUUUUUCAAAACGUUUGGCCAAUAAAACACCUCAAACACGGUUCAUUCCAGUAGGUAAUGUCUAAAAUAUAUCAAAGGUACAUUUGAUAGGUAAUUAGACUAAGAAGCUUCGGAUAUCAAGUCCCAAAUCAUCGUUAGUUUCAAAUCUGUCCAAAUGCAUGGUUUUCCUUCACAAAACCAGUUUCGAAUUUUGAUCAUAAAUCACUCAAUUCAACUCAGAAUUGAGCGUGGUUGAUGGCGUUGGAAAAUAGAUUCAUAAGGAUACAUUUUCUCAGAAUAAACCAUUUUUAAAAUCUGUCCAUAACCAUCUCAUACGUGAGCAUCAAAUCGCAGUUCAUAAUCUGCCUCCCAGUGACAAAUGAAACAGGACAGCAAUUUUCAAACUAAUGGUUUGGCUCACUCGAGUGGAAUCAGAGCGUGCAUUUUAUAUCAAAUGAAUGCUGGGAAUAUCUAGUUUCCAGUGCUGCAAACGAAACUCGAUUCCAACAUCGGAGCGAUGAGUUAUAGUCGAAACAAGGUGACUGCCUGGGCAGUGACGGGAAUCAUUUUCCAAUUUUCUAAACUUUGGAAAUCACUUCAUUUAACCAACCAAUUCAUGUUAUUUUUCAAUGAAACAUUCUAACCAUUCAUAUAACAUGUAUACAUCAUAAUCAAGCCAUUAGAAUCACUAAAAAUCAUCCUAAGGGUCACGGUCAACAUAGGGGCAGAAUUGGAAAAUUUUCACCUUCGCUCCCCUUUGAGUUCCUACCAACAAUACAACGUUAUUCCACUACUUUAAGCACUAAACCAACAUUAUUAGCAUCAUCAUUCACCAAAUCAGUUCAUCCAACCAAAGUGGGAGUUCAUAGAUCCCACACAACAAUUUUUCCAACAUAAACAAGCUACCCACAAGCAUACAUGAGCUUAUAUAUGCUUUACUACUUCCAUAAGACAAGAUUUAAGGGCUUGAUCGUCAUAUACCUUCUUAGAUGCUAAAGGUCAGAUUUUUGGUCACAAGAAAGCUCCAAGAAACCGUGAAAAUAAAGCUCUUCUCCUUGCCUAAAUGAAUCUCCAAGUGGUUUGUGAGUUGGAUGCAGAUUUCGAGAUGAAAUGGAGGAAGAUUGGUGCAAGAAUGAAGAAGCUUUUCUUCCUUUCUUUCCUUUGCUGUUUGGUCGGCUGUUUUGGGAGGGAAAAGAGAGUGUUUGGCCGGCUCUUGAGGUGAGAAGAGAAGGGUUUUGAUCUGGUGUGAUACUCCCUUGAGAAGUCUAAGAAUGUGUGGCCCAAAAUGCUCCAAAAGUCAACUAAGGAGAGUGCGCGUACGCGCGCGUUUCGUGCUCGUUUCCUCUCGGGUUUGUUUCACUUGUGCACUAAACCUCUAAUGCACUUAUAUUCAUACUAUUAUUAUUCACUCUUAAUGGUCAAAAAAUAAAGGCCUUAAGUCCCUUAAUUGAUCGCGCGCGUAAAAACGCGUACUUCCAAUUUUGCGCGAUAACGCUUAACUUUCAAGAAAUUCUUAUAACGAUUGUAUUACUAACUAAUACUUGAGCACUUAAACAUAAAAAUACCUAAUUUGAAACUAAUGUACAAGUCUCCAAUUUUUCAAAUUUAUUGUAUUCUCGAAUCAGUUAUUUACUCCAUUCGCGUAUUCACUAUUUUCACUUAACGAGCCUUCAGAAAUUAAAUUUUGAAACGAGUCACUUUAAAAAUAUAACUAAGCUAUAGAUCCAUAUAAUUAGGUGUAAAAAGGUUAGAUAAUAUUCGGGGCAAUUGGCCAAAUAAAUAAUUAAAUGAGCUCGAAAUAAAAAUCUAAUAUAAGAAAAUUUGUGAGUCCUCACAUCCUCUCCCCCUUAAGAAAAUUUCGUUCUCGAAAUUCACACUUAGGAUAACAUCAUACCUUUUCAUAGUCGCGCCUAUCAGAUCCAUCAGUAACUUACAAUCGGUAACCCAUAUCUCACAAUUUCUAUCCACCUAAAUUGUAGUCAAACUUUGAUUCUAUCUUAGGAGCCUAGGAUUUUGUAAAAGUGUGAAUUGUACUAGGGUCACUUAGAACCUCAAAUAGACAAUGAAAAGCGAGAAUCGUACCUUCAACGACCGUAGCAGAAUUGGAAGCCUGUUGAUAGCCUAAUGCAUAAAUCUUAGUUGGUGCUUUAGAUCGACUUCCUCCAGCACUAGACUGUUUAGCAGCUCACUUUUCAGGCCUUUGGGUAUUACCACCUUCUUUUGGUAUGGUUGGGCAUUUUGAUAUUUGGUGUUCGGUACUACCACAAUACAAGCAUCUCCCUUGUUUUCUAAAACAAUCACUCUCCGUAUCGUUAAACUUGCCACAAUAAUCACAAACAACUUGGGGAGCCACAGAUUGAUCACUUGGAGGUGCCCCUCUCAAUUGAUCUCGUCCAUUGUGAUCUCCUCUUGAUUGAAUCUCUUUUGGUGUGCUAGAUAUUUCCACUCCACCAGUUCCUUUUCCCUUUUUGAAAGGUGGGGCACUCUUAUCUGCCUGUCCAGACGGGUUACUAGAAGUGCCCUUUUUCUUAGCGUGAAAGUUUCUAACUUGCAGCCUUGCACUCUCGACUCUCUGCACUUUUUCUAAGAUUUCAGUGAACGUAGAGAUUUGGGCUGCUGCUAACCCCUCCUGAAUCUCCACAUUAAAUCCUUGUACAAAGCGUCUUAUCCUCUUUCGUUCAUUAGUCACCAAUUCUGGAGCAUAUUUAGAAAGUUUAGUAAAUUUUCCUUCAUAUUUGGCUACACUAGAAGUUCCUUGCUUCAACUUUAUGAAUUCAUCUUCCCUUUUCUCUUGAACCAAGGGUGGGAGAAAUUUCUCAUUAAAUUCCCUCGUGAAAUUUUUCCAAAUCCAAGGGGUCUGCGCUCUUUCCCACUUCCCCCUUAUCACAUCCCACCAGGCACGUGCCAUUCCCUCAAAUUGGAAAAUAGCAAAAUUUACUCGCCUAUCUUCGGUAUAGUCUAAAGCAGCGAAUAUAUUAGUCAUUCUCUCUAACCAAUUCUCAGCUGCCUCGGGGUCGGGCUCUCCAGUGAACUUAGGUGGGUUAAACUUCACGAAUCUCUCCAAAGCCCUAUAUUCUCCUCUAUCCUGACCCCCAGGUUGGUUAAAGGGUCCAAGACCUUGUCUAUCAGUUAAACGCUCUAGGAUAUCAGUCAUCCUAUUGAUGGCAGUAGCCACUUGAUUACCCUCAAUAUUUUCUUGUCCCUGGAUCGGUCCAGCUACCGAUCCCUGGUCAUCACCAUGAGAUUGGGUCUGUCUAGUCCUUCGCCCACGGCCUCGACCACCCUUUCGUCCGUCCAUUAUCUUAGGUGUGCCUAAUGCAAGGAAUAAAUCAAUUACGAGGGAAAAUUCUUGAAAUAAGAACCAAUCACGAAAACAUCAAAAAUAACAAUAAUUUACAUUCAUUAACACUUCAAGUUCAUACAAUUAGCAAGUCAGGGGGAAAAUCAAAAAAUAUAGCACACAGGUGCCACAAAAUACUUUUAGUCACAGAAGACUAAAAUGAAAGCAAGUGCCUCAAAAGUAUGCCACACAGUCAUGCAAAAUACAAUGGUCUCAACACUUAGCAUCACCCCCAACUAAGUCAAUCUUGUGUAACACUAAUAGGUCUAAUCUUCUCGUUCAUUUCCGACUCAUAUCAAGCAUUAGGAUCCUAUUAAGUUACAUAGGACCAUCCAUCAAUCUUUCUCUACUUCUCUCUCUUAAUUAUUGUGCCAUCUUAGCCAAAUGACUAUUGGUUUCCUGUAACUAUUCACGUGAAAUAUCGAUUCGUUCUUUUCCCUACAAAUGGAGAUCUCAAGUCCUUAGCAUUGUCCUCAACUCUUGAGCAUUCGAGUACAAGAAUCUGAAAUAAGAUAAUUCACAUCUCGAGCUGGCCAGUUCCAAGAGUAAAUCACCAUAUUUGAGAUUCCUACCUAACAUACAUAUCUAGUCCUCCCCAAGUAUUACGAUAAAAGAUAUAUACCUAUCACAUUCAUGAUUCACAGCUUAUACUCUAGAAGAGUACUUAACCCUUUACUCAUUCACAUAAUAAGGACCAUAACACCACUUGGCCCAAUCUCACCCCACGCACAGACUAAGCGAAACGGCCUUGAUUUUCAUGUUUACAAGCGAUCACUUAACUUUCAAACCAGUCCCACAGUUCGGCAUCCUAAACUUUUAAGCCUAUGAUACACUACAAAGAUCUGAAACCUAAGAUCUGAUACUAACUGUGACGCCCCCACUUCUCCCAAGGGCGAACCCAAGGGUAUUCGCGAAACGCCAGCCCAGCUCUCGUCAGGACUCGAGACAAAUCGAUUCAAACUUAACAAUAUAUAACAAUUUAUACUAGUCUAAUAAGGAAAAGUCGCUUCCAUAAUCAAAUAUCCAAAUCUUACACCACGAGUUCAGAAUACAUCAGUUACCCAAUUCUUACAUCAGGAUCCAAAAGAUACAUCAAUUUUCAAAUAUAUACAACAUCCAAAAGUUGUCUAGACAAAUACAUCCAAUAUGCCAAAUCAAAAGUGCAUCAAGUUUCAAAAUACAACAAUGAUAAGUCGACUACACAAUUAUAACCAAGGUACUAAUCAAAAGAGUAAUCUAGUCGGCUUUUCUUCAAAAUCUUCUCAUCCAGUCCUGUUAAGGAAAACAAAUCUAACGGGGUGAGCGAAUGCUCGUGAGGCCAAGAAACACACAUGCAAACUCGUAUUCCAAAUAGCAACAACAAAUACACCGUAAGUAAAGCUAUAAAGUUCGAAUAAUUCACAUUUCCAGUAAGAAAAGUAGACAGAAACAAUUUAAGGAUACUGUAGCUCUCAGGAGCUAAAUUCCACGUAGUCGAGCCAUGGUCUUGAUCAAAUUCCAUAUUGAUACUCCGUCAAUCACAUAAGUAUCAAAUCCUGUAGAUACACCACUUUCUUCGAAUCCCGUCACCGUUACACUCCCUUACCGGGCCCGCUCAUCAAAGUUUUGAUAAUACUCGAGUAUAUCAUGGCAAUACUACGCGAGUAAUGCCGAGCAAGAUCUCUCCAAUAGAUCAUGCUCUACGAAUAUCUCAUGGUUUGCUAAGCUUACCAACCAAGCCCAUGCUGGCUCGAUUCGCAAAGUAACCAACGAGUUUGGGCAUCCCCCGAAUACGAAUACGAAUAUAAGUCGAUAAGCAACGCUCAAAUCGACGACUCCGACUAGGAAUCACAAAUACAAAUCAUAUAUACGAAUCAUAUCCACAUCACUACAUACAAGUCGAAUAUGAAUUCACAUAGCAAAAUUCGAAUAUAAUUUCAUUUGAAAGAGAACGAGUGCGGUAAAGUACACACACAUCUCUAAAUUUCCAAAUUCAAAUAACGGAUAAGAAGCAGUAAACACUUAGCAACAAAUUCAUGCACUUGACACUCACCGAGUGAUUCAAGUAGCAAGUUCAAAUGAUAGUUUAGGCGUCUCCAGUGAGAUCCUCUGGAAGGCCCUCUUGAGUGCCUUAGCAUUUAAUAAUAAACUAUCACUUAUAAACCCCAAUUAAUAAGGAAGAUUGCACUCUUGUACAAUCUAAGAAAAUUUCACAAGAAUAAACCUUAAAAUUGCACUCAAAAGUGGAGUUUUAAAACACAAGCAAAAUUUGAUUUACAUCCUUAAAAUCGAGUAUAAAACGAUCAAGUGAUAUUAAAAGGGAAAAGAGAGUUUGAAAAACUCCAUUUCCUUUAAGUUAGAAAUUUUCAGAUUUAUUACACUUACUUUGAAAAAUCGUAUCUCAUUCUUUACAAGUCCGAAAUUGGAAAAUUUGGUACCAUUGGAAACUACUUCCAAAGUACAAAAAGUUCCUAGAAUACACUUUUCCAUGAUUCCAAAUGGACGGUAUCCAAAAUUUGACUCAAAGUUGCUGUUCUGAGGCAUUGAAGACAGGUUUAGUUUGGUUUUUGGCCAACUUUGAAAAUUUGGAAAAAUUCAUUUGAUCCGAAAUGAAAUCUACUUUCAACUCCUACAAAAAUUACAAAAAAGCAAGUAAAAGGGAUAAAUUCUCAAUUAAGUUUUGGAUUGCACUUAGAAGCAAUUCUAAUGAAUAUUGACGAUUUUCUUCCUAUAAUAUUGCAAAAGUGACUAAGAGUAGAACAAAAUAUCAUCCAAAUACAAAAUAGUCACUUAUCAAAGAGAUUGUCAUAUAUGCAAGUCAAGUAUGCAAGGUAACAGGAAAUUCUUAACUCAUAGAGGAUAUGCUAAUCAAAGGUUUUAUAAUGCAAAAUAUUUUAGGAAUUCGUUGAAUAUACUCUGGCUUAUCCAAUAUCAAGGCUUUGUCAUUAUCAAACCCGAUGGUCAAAGUAGUGUAACCCAAGUUUCAAGUUAAUAUCUUUUAGGAACUAAGAGGAAGAAACAACUCCAACAUAUUCUUCAUCGGCAGUCUCAAGCAACUAAGAUGAUGCAUCUAUUCUUUAGGAUUGAUCAACGAAGAACAAGAAAUUUGAAAAGAGUAACUAAAUGACAAGGCACAUCCAAUUAAAGAUAAGCUCCAAUCCCAAAUCCACAUUCCUUCCCUCACCAUAGAAGGAUACAAAAGACUAGGUAAGAGAAUGAAGAAGGGUGUGACUAAAAAUCUAGUGAGCAACUUCUUUCGAGUAAAAAUUCAAACAAAGACUACUGAAAAAGACAACUGCACUAAAAAUGGGUUCUAUAAUCUUCUAAAAACUUGAUGCAAAAAUGUUAGUUGUUUUCUUUUAAAUGCUACAGGAUUUAGUCCUUUAGCUGUUGAUAAUGAAUUUAUCUGGAGUGAACGAAAUGAUCCUACAUAACCAUUAAUGUAUAACCACAUAGAUAGCGAAACCACUAAUACUAUUAGCAAGAAAGCUACCCAAUGAGGAAAUAAAAUAAAUAAAUCCAAGUUAAUAUUUAGGGGGCUCGUUGGAAAAUAAAGGUAAAUUGCUAAUAAUCCCCUUGUGGUUUUAUCUAUUACCACAUACCCCCUCUAACAUUUCAAAAUCUUCAUUUCACCCCCUAUAGUUUCCUAUAAAUUAGAUUUAACAAAAAAAAUUAACUUGUGUAAUGUUGUUACUUGAAACACCAGUAAUGCCCUUAUUUAAAUACUAAAUCAAAUGACAACUUACCAACCUUGCAUAAAACUAUAGAGGCAUUAUGUGGAUGAAUGUAAAAAUUACGGGGGGUAAAAUGGAUAUUUAUACAAAUUAUAGGAGAGUUAAGUAUUUCAUCACAUGCACUUUUAGAGUUCAUAAGCUCUUAUUGCCGUAAUUAAUUAUGCAUUCCGUUUAUUUUACCCUUUACAUAAAAUCAUAGGGAGUUAUGUGUCCAUUUCAAAACUUUAAGGGGAUCAUUUGAUGUUAUGCAAAACCAUAGAGGGCUAUAUGUAAUUUUCCCAAAAAUAAUUGAUUUAUUUGCUUAAUAUCUCUCAUUCACCAUUGAAUCAUUCUCUCGCAGCCCUUUUUGUCAUGUAAUCGACUUGGAUAAAUGGCCUCUUUUCCUAAAGAAUUCUCAUUUCCCCAAACGAUCGAUUUAUUUGCUUAAUAUCUCUCAUUCGCUCGUGAAUCAUUCUCGCAAGUUGGAAAUUAUUGUAUCUUGCGAAAAGGGCAAGAAAAGAAUACAAGAAACUCCGUCAAAUAAUUAUCCGGUUCCUUUCUCCCGUAUCUGAAGAAGCAGAUGUUUAUAUUUCUAAAAUUACAAUGUUAAAUUAUCAUCAAGUUGCAUAUUAUGUGAAAUUAUCAUCAAGUUGCAUGUGAAUAUCUUUACUUUUUCAUUAUCUAAGGACUUAGAUACACGAAAUCGUUAUGUCAAACAAAAACAUUACCACAUUUAACAAAUCUCUAAUUGAUGAACUUGAUCAAAAUUAAUUGAAAACCCAAAACCCUGAAUAGUGAAAUUCUAGUGAGGAUAGGCAAUUUGAAGAAAUUGAGUUGUCUUCAUUUGGAAUUUAAAUCAUUUGCGGGUGUUGUUAGAGAUUCAUUAGGUUCAUAUACUUCUCUUAAUGACAUAAAUUUGGCAUACAAUUCAUUUUCUGGAAAUAUUCUAACAAGCCUUGGUUCUCUUCCAAGGUUAAAUUUUAUAAAUCUCUCAAAUAAUCAAUUCUCUGGUGAGAUUCCUCCGAACUUACAUCACUACAUCUAAACCUUCUUGAUUUGUUAAACAAUAGGUUGGUUGGGCACAUCCUAAAUUCUUUAUCAAUAAAUGUUUCUAUCUGACACAAUGACUCAAGUUGACGGAAAAGUUGGGAUUAUGCGCUCCAGUUAAUUGAAGAGCUAAAACUUAUUAGUUAAUAGUUAAAGAGCUAAAAGUUGAACUUUAUAAUAAUUUGAGAUUAUUCGGGAAUUUUGCCCAAAGUUCAAACCUUGUAUAUUAAGUAUACACCAUUUAGUAGUAGUCAAGUGUUUAUACUAGAUUCACACAUUUUUGCGCUCUUAUCAUGUACCUAUAUAACAUAAGAAAAGUAUAUAUAUAUGUAAGAAUCGAAGACAACCUAAGAGGGGGGUGAAUUAGGUUAUUUUAAAAAAAAUCAAGAUGUGAGACUCUUUUUCCUUAAUUUGAAACUUACCCUCUUUUCUAGAUGACCACACAAUGUACCAAUUAAUGAGAGAUCAGAAUUGCUUGUAAGUAGAAGAGAAAAACAGUUUGUAUUUGCAAUAUAGUAAGCAGUAGAGAAAGGAUAGCAAACCAGAAUCACUUCCAAGCUCCUCUUGAGCUUGGAUACACUUUAUAGAACAAGUUUCUUCAAAUUGAUCAAUUACAACCAAUCUUUGUGUGCAACGGAAGGAUCACUUCCUCCUUACUCCAAUCCACACUUGGUCAAAUUAGGAAGUUUUACUAUUACUCGGAUAACUCUCACAAAACUACACUAUUGAAGUAAUUUUCUCACACAAGAAAAGCUUCUAUGAAAUUUACACAACUAAGAGUACAAGACUUCCUUUUAGAGUAUUUUCUCACUAAAAUCACUCUUCAUAUGAUGUAAUCUCAAUGUGCAAAGUCAUUUUGAAGUGGUUGACUUUGUUCUAUUAAUAUGAGACCAAAAAGUUCUUCAAUUAAUGCUUCCAACAGACAGAAAAUAGUUGAAGAGUCAACUAGCCGUUGGUAGUGUCGGACAUCUGAUGCACCUAUUUCUUGCGUCCGAACGCAGGCAGUGAACUCAAGAAAGUUUCUUGAAUUAUUUCGAACGUCCGGUACCUUUAAUGUAUGCGUUCGAAAGUAGGGAGUGAAACUGAGAAUUCUUCUUCAACUCUUUUCGGACGUCCGGUACCGCCAAAGUUUUGCAUCCGAAGUGUUGCAAUGUUUGUCGAACGUCCGGUGCUGUGAUGAUGUUUGUCCGAUCGAAGUUAGUGAGUUUAGAAGGAAUAACUUAAUAUCUUCGGACGUCCGAGAGUGGAGUUCUUCAUGCAUCCAAAGUUACGCAAUGAUUGUCGGACGUUCGAUCCAAUCUUCUUGUGCGUCCGACAGCAGCUUCAGUAAUCCUUGUGAUUAUUUCUUGAAUCUGUUUUGUUUCAAUUUUGAAAAGGUCUAUUGAGAAAACAUUAAUAACAUCCAUUUGUUUUGUAAUCAUCAAAAGUUUCAGACUGAGAUUAAUAAUCUCUCCCUUUUUUAUUAUAACAAAACAAUGGAUGGAGAAAAAUAAUUGACGCAAAAACUCAUCCUUACUUAAUGCAUCAUCAGAGUGGACACGACACUCCUCCUCAUAACACUCACCCUCAAAAUAAUUUCCUCUCAUGUAUAGAUCACUGGACACUCCCCCUCAGAAUGAUUUCCCCUCACGUACUUAUCACUAGAUUGCAUAUCCAUUUCUCUCCCUUUUUGUCAUCAUUAGAUCAACUAGAAACCAGUAUCCAACAACUAAACACUCAACAUCUACCAGCAAUUAUCAACAACUAUCAGUAAUUAUCACUGUCAGUCAAGAUCAACAUUAUGAGUAUCAUCAAUAUUUGCAAUUAAUAUCAAAAAUCAGAGACCAAACUGAAUUAAGAGUUAACCAAAUAAGGGAUAAUCCACAAAAGCAACAGCAUUCAUAAAAUAACCAAAUAGUUUUACAGGCCAGCAGAGGAAAGGAAAUAGAAUCCUUAAUACAAAGCACAUGAAAUGUUUAAAAUGCAAAAGAUGCAAAAACCUAUUAUGAACUACCAUCCUAAUUAUGAAGUGCAUUUACCUAGAAGUGCCUACAUGGUGAUCUUGGACGAUCCAGGUCUCCUCUUUGCUAGGCGAAACUGAGCAGGAUCCACUUCUUCCUCUUCAGUUUCCUCAUCAUCAUCCUCUUCAGUUUCCUCUUCAGUUGUUGGAGCCUUUCCCUUGUCUUGUGGCUGAGAACCGGAAGCAUGAACCUCUGGAGUGGCUUCAGUACCAGGAGUUUGCUCAGUUCUAGUUUUCUUUUGGUGUACAUUCUCAUUGUCUUGAGAAACAGGAGGCAUAAGCAAAUUCCUUUUGUCAAUGAAGGUGGUUUGUUGAUCGGGUGACAUGGUCAUCAUCAGACCAUCUUCAAGAAGUAGGAUGUGUUGUUUGAGAUCUCCAAGCAAAGAGAUGACCUCAGAGUUAGAUGAAGAGGUCUUAGUGGCUGACCUUCUAAAAUGAAUAGUAAAGGGUGAGACAUACAUGGACUGAUCUAGAGCAGUCCUAGGGGAGACAGGUGUUUCACGAUGAUUCUUUCUCCUAGACUCUAGAACAGUUUCCUUAUUGCACCAUUUACCAUCAAAAAAUUUCAAAUUUUUUCUUUCAAAGUAUGCCUUGGAAAAGACAGUAGCAGCACUUUCUUUUGGUGAUAUGCCAGUGAAGGGAACUUUGAAAUGAGUAAAGAUUGGGGUCAGAAAUUUUUCAUAUGAAAGUUUUCUACGGCUAUCAGUGCUGAUUUUGAGUAAGAAUUUGCACAUAACAAAGCCGAAAUCAAUUCAAAUUUUUUCAAGAAAGCAGUAAAACAGGUAAAGCUCCAUUUUAUUGGCAUUUGUCAUAUGACCGUCAGUAGGAACCAACAGAUUUGAAAUUAUAGAGAAGAUGAUCAAAUUUUGAGAAUUGAGAUCCUCCAUUCUUGUCUCAACAGGAGUAUGAAAAUGAGUUUGAAAAUAAGUCAUCAGUUUUGAGACAUGAAAAUGAUGAUAGGCAGAAGGAAAUUCUUCAUAUGAGAAAAAGUUUACAAUUUUUUCUUUAAAACUAUCCUCAAUUUUGGUGUUCAGAACAGUGUUGACAAUGUCAGGGUUAACUCUAUAUUAACAGAAUUGACACGUGAAACUAGAUCGGUGUGUGAUCUACCCUUUUUAAGAUUGGCAAAGAAUUAAUGAAGCAUGUUAGGGUAAAAAGUGUUGGAAAAAGUCAGAAUAUAAGUCCAUUUUUGGAAAGCAAAAAGUUCAAGAACAGAUUCAAGGUCAAGCUUACAGAAUUCAAAAAGGAGAAUGGUUCUUUGAGUGAUGAACCCCUUCCGAGAAAUCCAUUCGAAUCUCUCUCUGGCAUCAUCAUCAAUGAACUUUGGUAGUGGGGGGGGGGUUCCUCUGCAAUCUAAGUCUCAGGUUGCUCUCUGGCAGUUCGUUUCCUUUUUUUACCUCAAGAAGCAUCAUGUACAUCAGUCUGUCCACCAGAUCUUGUUCUUGGUGACUUUCUGGUGAAAGUCUCAGUGGCUUGCUAAUUCUCAGCAUUUUGCUUAGCAAUCUGUUGUUCUUCAAUUUGCUCAACAGAAGGAUCAGCAAUUUGCCUUUCCUUAGUUUGAGCAGUUCCCUUCUUUUUUGCAGAUCGUUUCACCUUUUUACUAUGAGAUUCGGUCCCUUUUCUGGGUGAUUUCAUGACGGAUGCAUCAACAUUAGUAGGCUGCUCUAGUUCCUCUUCACUAUUACUGACAAGAGGUAAUGCAGUGAGCUGUUCCUCAGUUUGCUCAACGGAAGUAGUUUGCUGUUUCUCUGAAUGUUUCUUUUGGGCUGAACCUUUUUCUUUUCCACCAUAUUUUUUUGUUCCUCUCUUUGGAAAUUUGGUGGUGGAUGACUCAACAAUGUCAAUAUCUUCAUCCCUCAACUUGAACCUUGUGGUGCAUCCAGCACUAACAGACCCUCCUCUAAUUCUUACCAUGAUGAAAUGCAAGAUGAUUAUGUUGCAGAAUAUGAUGCAAAUGUGUAUGAGAGUAACUUAGAGUGCGAAUGGACUACAACAAAUGCUUGAAUUGUCCAACGAGAGCAAAUUUUGAGUAGCUAGGGUUAUGGGUGAGAAUUAGGAUUUAUGGUGUAGUUGGCAGUUAGAGGAAGUUAAGAGGGGUAAUGAAUAGGAAAAAGGAGUGUAAUGGUGUUGGACAAAUCAAUUUCUCGGAAAUCUGUUCAGAGGAGAGAUGAAUUUUGAAUUUGAAAUUUGGAGAAGAUGAAGAGUUGCGUCCGAGGCAACGGUAAGAAAAAAAAAUAAACUGACUGAAAGAAGGGAUUAUCUUAUAAGACGCAAUUUUUGAGUAUCGGACGGCCGAACGAAAUGAAACGUCCGACACAACCAUCCGAAAUAGAACUUUCUGGAAAAGUGAUCAAGAACACUGUCGGAUGUCCGUUCUAACGCAUCGGACGUCCGAUAAAGAGUGGCCAGAGAAUUUUUAGAAUAUUUUUUCUGAAACGCCCAAUUUCAUUCUCAAAAACAUGAAUUGAUCCAGUGGUAAGACUUUUGUGAAAAUAUCAGCAAUUUGAUCUUUUGAGCAGAUAUAUUGAACACGAAUUUCACUCUUUUCGACAAGAUCACGAAUGAAAUAAUGAUUUAUGUCUAUAUGCUUUGUCCUAGAGUGUUGAAUGAGAUUUUUUGUCAAAUUUAUGGCACUAGUGUUAUCACAAUACAUAGGCACAUAGUCAUACAUUAAUCCAAAAUCAUUCAAUGUAUUUUUCAUCCAUAAUAAUUGAGCACAACAAGCUCCGACGGCAAUAUAUUCCAUUUCGAUUGUAGACAAUGAAAUAGCAUUUUGUUUCUUACUAAACCAAGAUACUAAGCAAUUACCAAGAAAGUGACAUGUUCCAGUUGUACUUUUUCUAUCUAUCCUACGACUGCCAAAAUCAGCAUCUGAAAAAUCAUAUAAAGGGAACUCAUGACAUUUAAGAUAGCAAAGACCGUAAUUCAAGAUUCCUUUUAUAUAUCUAAAAAAUUUUUUCACUACAUUUAAGUGAGAUUCCUUUGAACAAAAUUGAAAACGAGCACACAAGUAAACGGCAAACACAAUAUCAGGUCUACUUGCAGUUAAGUAAAGCAAACUGUCAAUCAUACCUUUAUACUUCUUUUCAUCAACUUUUAUACCCUCUUCAUCCUUGUCAAGUUUAGUAAAUGUGCACAUAGGUGUUCCAACUUGUUUUGAAUUUUCCAUUCCAAAUCUUUUGAGUAGCUCCUUGGUGUAUUUAGCUUGAUUAAUGAAUGUUCCUUCUCGGUUUGAAUCACUUGGAGCCCAAGGAAGAAAUUUAAUUCUCCCAUCAUACUCAUCUCAAACUCUUUUUACAUAAUUGUGAAAAAAUCGUCGCACAAGCCCUCAUUAGUAGCACCAAAUAUAAUAUCAUCCACAUAGAUUUGCAUAAUUAAAAGAUCACUUGAAUUUUAUUUAGUAAAAAGAGUAGUAUCUACAAUGACUCUUUUAAAACCAUUUUCAACCAAAAAAUCGCUUAAACAUUCAUACCAUACUCUUGGAUCUUGUUUUAAUCCAUACAAAGCCUUUGAAAGUUUGAACGCAUGAUUUGGAUAAAUCUCAUUUUCAAAACCGGGAGGUUGAACAACAUAUACUUCUUGAUCAAUAAAACCAUUUAAGAAAGUACUUUUAACAUCCAUUUGAAAUAGUUUAAAAUUCUUGAAAUAUGCAAAGGUCAAAAACAUUCUAAUUGAUUCUAGUCUGGUUACGGGUGCAAAUGUUUCAUCAAAAUCUAUUUCUUCUUCUUGAACAUACCCCUCCGAUACAAGUCUAGCCUUAUUUCUUACUACUUCACCUUUGUCAUUCAUUUUGUAUCUAAAAACCCAUUUUGUGCCAACGAUAGGAUGAUCUUGGGGUCUCUCAACUAAUGUCCAAACCUUACUCCUUUUAAAUUGAUUUAGUUCCUCUUCCAUAGCUAAAAUCCAGUUUUCAUCUUUCAAAGCAUCAACAACAUUUUUGAGUUCAAAAUGUGAGACUAAUGCAAAAUUAUCCAUCAAUUGUUUAGAGGAGGAACGAGUUCUGACUUUCUCGGAUGGAUCACUAAUGAUGAACUCCUUAGGAUGAUUUUGAAUAAAUUUCCAAACUGUUGGAAGAUCAUCUAUUGUACAAACAUCCCUGUCAUUAUCUUCUAGUGCUGGACUAACUUGGGAAUCAUCUUCCUUCGAUCCAUUUUCUGGUGAAGCAUUGUCUUGAUCAUUAAUUAUGAGAUUCUUUAGUUCUUCUUGAACACCUGCAUCAUCAUUCUCACCACAACUUUUGGAAAUCUCACCAUUAGAUUCAUCAAAAGUGACAUGUAUAGCUUCCUCUAUAAUGAGAGUCCUUCAAUUAUAGACUCUAAAACUUCUUUUAUUUUCACAAUAAUCCAAGAAGAUUACUUCAUCAGAUUUUUUAUCAAACUUUUCAAGAUGUUCCUUAAUAUUUAAAAUGAAGCAUUUGCAACCAAAAAUUUUGAAGUACCCAACAAUAGGGUUUUUAUCAAACAUUAACUCGUAAGAGUUUUUGUUUAAAAUUGGUCUCAAGAGAACUUUAUUCAUAGUAUAACAAGCUGUAUUUAUGGUUUCAGUCCAAAAAUAUUUUGGCAAGUUGCAUUUACUUCACAUGGUUCUUGCUGCCUCUUGAAGAGUUCUAUUCAUUCUUUCAACAACUCCAUUUUGUUGAGGAGUUCUUGCAAUUAAGAAUUCAUGUGUAAUACCAUUGUUAUCACAAAAUUCUGGAAAGUCACAAAAAUAAAUUCUGAGUCAUUGUCACUUCUGAUCUUGAUGAUUUUCAAUCCAAUCAGAUUUUAAACUUUUGCAAAUAAUAAAACAAAGUUUUUGAAGGCAUCAUCUUUGUGUGUAAGAAACAUCACCCAAGUGUAUCUAGAAUAAUCAUUAAUAAUAACAAAGUAAUAUCUUUUGCCACCUAAACUAGCAGUUUGUGUAGGACCAAAUAAAUCAAGAUGUAAAAGUUCCAAAGGUUUUGUGGUAGAAACAUAUUUCUUGGGUUUAAAAGAAACUUUGAUUUGUUUUUCAAAUUGACAAGCAUCACAGAUUUUGUCCUUUUCAAACUUAAUUUUUGGCAAGCCUCUAACAAGUUUCUUUCUGAAAAUCUCUUUUAGCAAAUCCAUGUUGAAAUGACAAAAUCUUCUAUGCCAUAACCAAGGGUCUUCAUUGGCUACUUUAAGACAUUUAAAGCUGGAAGAAUUAAUAUUUCAAGAACAACUACAUAAAUGUCAUUUAUUCUUAUUCCUUUGAAAAUAGUAUUAAGUUUUGAUUCAAGAAUAAGACAUUCAUGCAUUUUGAAUAACACAAACAAAUUUCUAUCACACAAUUGACUAACACUUAAUAAGUUAUAACUCAAAUUAUCAACUAAAAGAACAUUGUGAACAAAUAUUUGACCAUUCUUACCAACAUCACCAAUUUCAACAGUUUUGGCUUUAUUGUUAGCUCCAAAAGUUACCUUCCCGCUUGAUUUUGCCUUGAGUUUGAUGAACUGUGAUUGAUCACUAGUCAUAUGCUUUGAACAUCCACUGUCUAUGAACUAUUUUGACUCCUUAACAAUAUUCACCAAAUUCACCUACACAAAAAUUCACAAGAUAAUAUAUGGUACCAUUUAUUUUUUGUGUCCUUGAGUGCUAGCAUUAUACCUAACUAUCCACAUACAUUUCAUGUCAUUUCUCAUAUUUUUCUUAACGUAGCAGUUACUCAUCAUGUGACCAGAUUGACAACAAAAGCUGAACAUAGUCAGUGAAUUACUUGCAUGGACAGGUUUAACAAAUCUGAUUUGUCUUCUCUUGUAAAUAGUAAAUUCAUGUGCAUUGGAGUUCAAUUUUUUUCAUGCAUGCGAAAAAGAGAUUUUGGUUCAUUCCUUUAAAACCAGUUUUGUUUCUUGUGUUGAAGCAAAUCAUCAAGGUCAUCCAUUCUCCUUUUCAAGUUUCCUUGAUCCUUUUUGAACAAUUCACAAAACUUUAUUUUUCUAUCCAGUUCAAUAUGAAAAUCAGUCUCAAUUCUUUUCAGGUUAUCAUUUUCAACUUUCAGAUUCUUGUUUUGACAAAAAAGGUUUGCAUUGCCUUGAAUAAGAAAAUUGAUCUUUUAUUUUAAUUCCUCGUUCUAACAUGGGAUUCUUUCAAACUAUUAUGCAGUCUCUCUAUAAAUGAAUUUACAUCAUCAUCAAAUUCAUCAUCACUAUCAAGUGGAGAGUUAUGAGUAGUUAGCUCAUCAUCACAAUGGCCAUGAAAGCCAUUUGAGCAAAUUCCUCUUCUUCUUCGACUUCACCUUUUGAGUUGCAAUCAUUCCAUGUAAUUUGAAAAUUGUUGAAUUUUGGUUUUCGUUCAAACUUUCCUUCCUUCUUUUUCUUCAUUGGACACUCACUCACGUAGUGUCCAGGUUGGCCGCAUUCAAAACAUUUAUCAGUUUAUUUUUUAUUGAACUCUUGCUUCCCUUUGUUUCUUAUAUUGCUGAACUGAUUUGGGAAUGAGUUGUUGUUUCUUCCUUUUCUGAACCUUCGUUUGUUUAGAAUUCUCUUGAACCUUUUUGUAAUGAGAGCUAGAUCACUAUCAUCAACAUCCGCAUCUUCUCCAUCUAGAGAGGCAGAAUCAUCUUCAUCUUGAAAUGCCUUUAGAGCAAUGCUCCUUCUUACUUUCGCAUCCUCUUCCUCUUGCACUUUGGAAAGUUUCAACUCAUAAGAGGUUAGAGAAUUAAUAAGAGAUUCAAUAGGUAAGGAAUUUAGAUCUCUAGCUUUUUCAAUGACUGUCACUUUACUCUCCCAAUCCUUAGAUAAAGCAUUCAAAAUUUUUCUGUUUUUCUCACCUAGAGAGUAAUCCUUUUCCAGCACCUCUAAAUCCUUAAUGAGGUCAUUGAAUCUACAAUACAUCUUAUCAAUGUUUUUAUGAGGUUCCAUCUUGAAGGAUUCAUACUUAGUAAUUAGAAUGAAUUUCUUUUAUUCUCUCAUAUUCUCACUCCCUUCAUGGAUUUCUCUUAGUUUAUCCCAGAUCUCUUUGGCAGACCUACAUUCUUUGACUCUAAUGGAUUCAUGUGAAUCUAAAACACUAUAUAGUACAUUCAUUGCCUUAGCAUUCAAGGUGAGGUGAGUUCUAUUUUCACUGGUCAAUUCAUUUCUAGUUUUUUAUCUAGAUCUGGGAGUGACUUCAUCUACUACAGAAGUAUCGUAGGGUCCUUCAUUGACAAUAAACCAUAGUUCUAUAUCAAUAGAUUGCAAGAAAAUGAUCAUACUUUCCUUCCAACUCACAUAGUUGGAUCCAUUAAACAUAGGAGGUCUGGUGAUAGAUUGUUCUUUAAAAAAUAUGACAUUAUUGGUUGUCAUUUUUACUCCUAAGUCGAUUGAGUUUAAUCUCUAGGAGACCAAGCUCUGAUACCAAUUGUAAGGAUCGAAAACAACCUAAGAGGGGGUGAAUUAGGUUAUUUUAAAAAAAAAUCAAGAUGUGAGACUCUUUUUCCUCAAUUUGAAACUUACCCUCUUUUCUAGAUGACCACACAAUAUACCAAUUAAUGAGAGAUCAGAAUUGCUUGUAAGUAGAAGAGAAAGUCAGUUUGUAUUUGCAAUAUAGUAAGCAGUAGAAAAAGGAUAGCAAACCAGAAUCACUUCCAAACUCCUCUUGAGCUUGGAUACACUUUAUAGAACAAGCUUUUUCAAGUUGAUCAAUUACAACCAAUCUUUAUGUACAAAAAAAGGAUCACUUCCUCCUUACCCCAAUCCACACUUGGUCAAGUUAGGAAGUUUUAUUAUCACUCGGAUAACCCUCACAAAUCUACACUAUUGAAGUAAUUUUCUCACAAAAGAAAAGCUUCUAUGAAAUUUAUACAACUAAGAUUACAAGACUUCCUUUUAGAGUAUUUUCUCACUAAAAUCACUCUUCAUAUGAUGUAAUCUCAAUGUGCAAAGUCAUUUUGAAAUAGUUGACUUUGUUCUAUUUAUAUGAGACCAAAAAAAUCUUCAAUUAAUGCUUUCAACGGACAGAAGGUAGCUGAAAAGUCAAUUAGCCGUUGGUAGUGUCGGACGUCCGAUGCACUUAUUUCUUGUGUCCGAACGCAAGCAGUGAGCUCAAGAAAGUUUUUUGAAUUAUUUCGGACGUCCGGUACCUUUAGUGUAUGCGUCUGGAGGUAGGAAAUGAAACUGAGAAUUCUUUUUCAACUUUUUUCGGACGUCCGGUGCCGCCAAGACUUUGUGCCCGAAGUGUCGCAAUGUUUGUCGGACGUCCGGUGCUAUGAUGAUGUGCGUCCGAUCAAAGUUAGUGAGUUUAGAAGGAAUAACUUAAUAUCUUCGGACGUCCGAGAGUGGAGUUCUUCAUGCGUCCGAAAUUAUGCAAUGAUUGUCGGACGUCAGCUCCAAUCUUCUUGUGCGGCCGACUGCAGCUUCAGUAAUCCUUGUGCUUAUUUCUUGAACCUGUUCUGCUUCAAUUCUGAAAAGGUCUAUUGAGAAAAUAUUAGUAACAUCCAUUUGUUUUGUAAUCAUCAAAAGCUUCAGACUGAGAUUAACAAUAUAUAUAUAUAAUUUUGUCAAUAUGAGAUUGUAGAGUAGAUCUGUAUCAUAAACUUACUUAAGUAUGACAGUUAGCUUUCAAAAAAUCGUGUUUGCAAGUCUGAGUGUGAUGCUUAUUGUAAUGAUUGAAGAAUGGUAAAUUUUCCUCAUUAGAACACCAAAUUAAAAAGAAUGUCUGAUUGAUUGGAGAAUAGAUUUGAAAUGCAUUUUCGACAUGUAGAAGACAUAGAUUCAUCAUUAUAAAAUUUGGCUUCAGCUACACUUAACAACUAAUUAGGGGCAUCCUCUAGGUUGUUUGUUAUGCAAUUUUGGCCGUUGUAUACAUGGAUUUUGUUGCAAAGAAAAUUGUCCAACGGUGCGAGUCCAUUUAACAUGCCUAUGUAAGUAACUAAUUCAACAAUACAUGCAGAAUUACAGAUACAUCAAAUCCAACAUCUCAAAAAUUAUGGUAAAAAAAGUUCCAUAAAAAGUAUUGGAAUAUCUAUUGUGCUAUUCUACCACCUUUAACCCUUUUAUGCUAGCUUGUAUAGGAGGUUCAUUGGUACUUAAUUGAUCUUAAACAAAUAUUGGAAUAUUACAUCAACCAUUUAGAUUAAAUUUGCAGCUUUAAGGUUAGCUAUGUACCUUCAAUUACUUUGCUUAUUUAUUGUCAACGGCCCAUAUACAAUGACUGCGUAAUUGGUGCUAAACUGUUUGUAGUAUGCCACAAUUGAACCAAAGUACUCCAAGAUACACAAUGCAUUAGCAAUCUCAGCUGAGCUUGGGGGCUGAUAUAGAAAUUUGAAAUUCCUCAAAUAAAAAAAGGCUGAGGACAUUUGUAUAAUAUAAAAAAAACCAUGGAUAGUAAAUGAGGGGAAAUUCCAAUAAAUCUUCUCAAAAAAUGCUUCUUUCCCAAAUUGCCCCUGACUGAUUAAUUGAAUGAUUUUGAUCUAUUAUAAUUUUCAAAUCAUGUACAGUUGAGUAGGAUAGUCCAAUUUCAAGUUGAAUUCAACAAGAACAACACAUACAUAUUUGUGAAUUGACUAAAUUUCCCCAAAGUUCUUGAAUACCAAAAAUUUUCCAUUACUUGUCCUUGAUGAAAAAUUUUUCAAAAAAAAAUCUAGUUAUUCCCCAUAUCGCUAAAAAUUCUAAUAUUUUGCAACUUUUGGUUAAUGAUCAUUGCAUUAAAUUUUAAUGAUAAAUUUUUUUUCAAAAAUCUAUCUAUUCCCACAUUGCUAAAAAAUUCUAGUUUUUUUGUAGCUUUUGAUUAAUCACAAUUGUGUGUAAGUUUAUUAUAUACUAGCUUAUGGCUAAUAUUUGUGGUAUCUUUGUUAUAAUUGGAAAUGUAUUAAAAAAAUAUAAUUGUUAAGUACAUUGUAUUUUAUAUUCUGCAUGUUCAAAAGUUUUUACAACAUGAGUGUAAUAUUGACAGUACAUCUUGAUUUAUCUUAUUACUUCAAAAUUUUGUUCAAAAAUUUUUUGUGAAAUUUUAUACAGCUUAGAAAGGAUAUUUUGGUCAAUUCAUGAAACCAUGUGCAUUACACAAGCCAAAUUACAACUACUUGAAGCUUACGUCCACUAAUCAUGCAAGAAUUUGUGUAGUUGUAAUUAAUAAAGACACAUAUUAAGACUAUAACUCCCAAAGUUUUAUUCUAUAUGUCAUAUGUAUUGUUAUCUAAUUGUAACUUAUGUAAUGAAGAGAUACUCUUUAGGUUGAAUGAUUAUGAAAUGUCGUGCUGAUAUAAAGUAUUUUAGUGAAAAAUUUAUAGAGAUCUAGGAAUACAUUUAUCAUAUAAUUAAUUAAUUAAAUCACCUUUCACUUAAUCUCAAAAUGCUAAUUAUAACUAUUUAAAAUUUAAGGGACCAUAUAGGCAGAACUUAAAACAUUAUGGACAAAAAAAAUGCAAAGUCACAACUUUUGACUAACGCCCGUUUGAUUUGGAUUGUUGGAUUUUCCAUCAGUUGUUUGAUAUUUGUUUAGAAAUUUUGGAGGCGGAUUUGUUUUAACCGAAAUAUUAAGAACCAGUCUUGCACAUACGUCAAAUAUUAGAGACCAAAGCUACAUUUCCGCCUAUCCUAAGGCCCCGUUCAGAGUUGGGUGCUUUUUGUAACAAACUACUUUUUGUGUUAAAAGUAAUUUUAAGUCGUUUGGUGAACAUUGUCCAUAAAAUUAGGAGUGAAAUUUUUUGUGUUAAAAGCACUUUUAUCAAAAGUUUAAAUUUGGUACCUUUAGAAUAGUUUUUGUAAUUUAGAAAAUAAAGUAUUAAAUUUAAUUAUCUUAUCCUAUAUUAUAAACUAAAUAAAGAGACAAAUAUAUUUAAAAAUUUUAAAAUCACACAUUAUACUAGGGGUGUGCAAAAUCGAAAAAUCCUGAUUUACCGACCGAAUUCAAUUCGAAUUCGGAAUUUCGAAUUCGGUAAUUCGGAAUGAAAAUCGGAAUAUCCGAUUUCGAAUUGGUCGAAUUCGGAUCGAAUUCGGUAAUGAGAUUUUUCAAAUCGAAAAUUCCGAUUUUGAAUUCACAAUUCGAAAUCGAAAUCGAAAUUGAAUUCGGAAUUCCUAUUUCGAUUUCAAAUCUGUUUUUCAUAUAUAUAUAAUGUAUAUAAUAUAACAUUUAUAAUAUAAUAAUAAUUUUUAUAUUCAUGAAUUCGGUGAAAUCGGAAUUCCUAUUUCGAUUUCAAUUUCGUUUUCACACAUAUAUAUAAUAUUUUUAUAUAUAUAUAUGUAAUAUAAUAUUUAUAUAAUAAUAAUAAUAAUUUUUAUAUUCAUGAAUUCGGUGAAAUCGGAAUUUACCGAAUUCCGAAUUGAAUUCGGAACGAAUUUGAAUUCGAAAUCGAAAUCGAUCGAAAAUUUUGAUACCAAAAUUUCGAAAGAUUACCGAUUUCGAUUUCGAUUCACACCCCUACAUUAUACAAUACAAUAAGUACUUAUUGAACUAUAUUUCCAAACAGUAUAUUUAAAAGUAUUUAAGCAUUUAAUAAAUACUUUUAUUAAAAAUCCUAUUGAAAAAAUAUUUUUCAAUAAAUUAUUGCAAUCCUAAACGGUCGUAUAUAUAUAUAUAUAUGUAUAUAUAUAUCUAUAGUUGGGCCUGAAUUUGAAUACAGAAUAUGAUCCAAAACUUACCCAAACUGGACUUCUUUUACAAGGUUUUAGGACUCGGCCAAAAAAUUACUAUUUUUUUUUUCCAAAUCCACAAGUAUAGGUGGAAUUAGCGUCUCCCGCUCAGAUUUUCGUGUCCCCGCCCUUUUGUGUAAACUUUUAACCCAUUUCUGAAGUAUUUGUUACCCUCAAAUUACAUUAUACCUUUACCAUUGCUCCUGUUUCCACUCUCCUCUCUGGUACUCAGGUACAUCUCUCUCUCGUGUUUUAUUACAUAUUCAUAUUCAUAGUCUUGAAUGUGGUUCUGUUCAGUUAUUGAUUUAUGUGAGGAUGAAGUUAUUCAAAAUUGAGGGUGUAUAUCAAAAGUUCUCAAUUGGGAAUUGAUAGAAGGAAAGAAGAAAAAGUGAUGUGACAUUUGAUACUCAUGAGGGAUAUCUUGAUAUCCCAUGAAAGCCAUAGCAAGAAGAUGGUAUUAAGACAAAAAUAUAACGUGGCAUUAGGUAAUUAUAAGGGAUGUCUUGAAACCCCAGGACAGCCAUAACAAGAAAAUGGUAUUAAGAGAAGUUAGAAAUACUACAGAAUGGUGAGUUAAACUUGGCUUGUUUAAUCAUUUUUGUAUUUCUUGAAAUGUUAAAAGGCUUCUAUUGACUUGAAAUUAUUGUUGAUCCUUUUAUUUGAUGAUUUCGGUAAAUGACCACCCAAUAUUUGCAAUAUGGUGUGACUAAAUCUGCACUAUUCAUUAGUUUUUUAUGCUUCAUGGUUCCUCCUCGCCUUUUUCACCCCAGAUCACCCCCGUUGGUUGAGGAAUGAUGAAGAGAAAAAGAAACUCAAAAGCACUCAGAGCAGGUUGUAAAGGAAAAAGAAAAGCAUAUGAAGAGGUUGAGCAUUUCGGUACCUCUAUCACGGAUGUACCUGAGCCUAUCUUCAAGAAUAUUGUGCUAAGACUGCCCAUUAGGGCAAUUAUCAUGUGCAAAUGUGUUUGCAAACCUUGGCGUCGGGUAAUUUCAGACCCUCAAUUUGCUAGGAUGCAUUUUGAACUUGCACAGCCCUGUCCUCUAGUCCGGACCUUGGGUAACACACGAGUUGCAAGAAUGCUUUACCUAAUUGAGCCAUCUGACGUUGACAACUACGAUUCAUUUUCUGAUUCUCGUUUUGCGAGGCAUCUCGGGCUUAAUUAUGGUCGGGAUUUUUAUAAGAAACUGGAUACCAAGUUGAAGAUUCCUUUGCGCAAUGCUGAAAAAAUGCCACAGCCACAUAAUGUCAGUGAUACCAAAUCCUGUCUUAGUAGUAAGCGUGGUUUUAAGAAGUGUUGUGUAAAAGUGAGACCAAAAGAGCAUAAGUUCCAGAUCGUCAAUUCUUGUAAAGGAUUUGUCUGUUUGUCAGAACCUUCAAGCAACAACCCACUUGUUGUGUGCAAUCCAGUCACAGGUGAGUAUUUAAACCUUCCAGGAACAGAUGAAUCUGAUAACAAUACCGAGAAAGAUAUGGUGUCUUGUGGAUUUGGCCUUUGUGAGGAGACUAAUCGAUAUAAAGUUGUUAGAAUGAUUGACCAAGGAUAUUUUGAAUCCAUGUAUUGAUGCCCAAUUACAGGAGAAAAAAGUUACAAGAAAACGUUGGUUGAGGUACACACACUUGGCACUGGGACUUGGAGAAGAAUCGGUUAUGCUCCAUACUGUAGCAGCAAACUGAAAUUUGCUACAUAUCUGAAUGGAUUUCUUCAUUGGAUUUCCCUUGAUUUCAGCAAACUUAUUUUGAUAUAUUGUUUUGACCUUGGCAGAGAGGAGUUCAAGUCAGUUCAGCUUCCUCCUCUUGGUGAUUAUUUUGAUCCCAUCAUUCGAUGGAAUAAUCAGUGUAACACAAGCUUGGGAGUAUUAAGAGGUAGCCUAUGUUUGUGUACUUGCUCAGGCUAUGAUUCACUCGACAUAUGGGUGAUGAAAAAGUAUGGUGAACCAAAAACAUGGAUGAAAAUUGUGUCAACUGAUUCCCUUUGUGUUGAAAGGUGGCCUUAUUGUGUGUACCAGCCGAUCAGUUUUGAAGAAAACAAAGGGUUGCUGAUGUUUCUGUCCCCUAAGAGUGCCUUUAUAUAUUAUCAACCUGAAAAUUAUGGCAGGUGGAAGUAUUUCAGAAUUCUUGAUGUCAAAACAAAAUAUGAAGCGAUUGCUCAUGUUCCAAGUCUCAUUUCUCUCAAGGAUGUUUUGAAUGGAGAUGGUAUGGAGAUACUGAAUAUUAAUUUAAGGUACGUGGUUUGCUUUUUCCAGUCUUUUACUGUCCAAAGUGAUUGAACUUUUCUUUGGUGUUGUUAUUUUUGGGUUUCCAGUUAGGUAUCAGUAGAUUUUCAUUUGAAAUAUGGUAAGAUGCAGUUUCUAUUAACCAGGAUGGUCAAUAAUGAAAAUAAAGUACAUAUUGAUUUCAUGGUCUUGCAUGUUGCUGGUGGAACAUCUGAUUUCCACGUUUUCAGCCUCCGCCCCUAUUUAAGAUUUUAAAGUUAAGUUUCUGUCAAAAACUACGCAACUCUGCUUUUGGACGAAUUUUGCUGACUUUUUACUAAUAUAAUCUCAGGAGCCAUAAAAUCAUGGUGUGAUAUCUGUGCAUGAGAGAGAGAGAGAGAGACAGAGAGGCAUUACAGCAUGUCUAUGGGGUGGAAGAAUGUGAUGAUGAAUUUGUCCACUUAAUAUUCAAGCAUCUUCAUUCUAUGCGGACCAAGUUACACAUCAAGCACUAUUGAGAAGACCAGAAAAAAGUGCUGUUUGAAUAAUGCUAAAUAGCUAAACUAAAUGAGAUUACAUGAAGAAAUAUUGAUUAUUGUGUGAAUUAACACAUUUUUUCUUCAAACUUGUUACAUAUCAAGUCAAAUUCAGAAGGUGUUGAGACUAGAAGCCAAUUCUCGUUUCUUUCUUCUGGAUUAUGGAUUUGCCAUAGGCAUCUGAUCAUAAAGCUCGCUUUCAUGGCAAAUAUGCAGCCAUCUAAUAUCGUGGUCUUUGCGUAUCCGUAAGCCGAAGAAGACUAAUGAGAGACAACAUAUAAGUGACUAGACUAACAUGUUAUCAUUGUCUGUUACCUGCAAGUACGUUAGAUGUCUUUUUAAUUAGCUUUUCUAAGGAAUUCAAGACUAGGUGUUUUGGGAGGGAUAAGAAAUUGAUUCUUUAGAGGCUGAGUCAGGCUUGCUUGACGGUGACUCAUCCUGUGCACAGUUUCAGUAUAUGAUUCCUUGAGUUUGGACAAGGUACUCUUGAAUAUACAUUACUUCAAAUGUGUAGUAACCUUAAUUUCUUGUUCCUCAGAACGAUGUACUUGCCUGAAGUAGCAGCUUACUUGUUAGUGUUUAGUUAGAUCUUCUUAGCUAAAGCCAUUACAUGUAUGGUAGCUUUUGCAUCAUGUUCUCUAGAGGGCGUUUAUUUCAGUACGAGUAAUAGAAAAACCGUAACUAUUUUUCCAAAUACAAUUUAAAGGAAAGUGAAUAAAAUGAGCUGCUUGAUGAACAAUUUCUCUUCCUUUCUGGAGCCAUAAAAUGGUGUGAUUUUAUCUCUCGAGGGUAACACUCAUGUGGCUUACAUGUUGGUAUGCUCUAGAUGCAGUGAAUACAAGUUGUUGGGAGAGACCAAAGCUAUUUAUUUGCAGGAAGUAAUAAGGGAAGCUGAGACCGAUACAGAUCAUUCACCCAGCGAAGGAGACUACGACUGAAUCACCCUUCUGCAUGGAUUGCUUUUCAUUUCUAGAGAAAUCGUGAAUCCUUGUAAGACCAGCUUUCAUCUAGAUGAGGGAAACGACUGUAAAUUCAUGCUAAUAGCUGGUUCUUUUUGCUUCAUUCUAUGUAAGCAUUCGCCUUUGAACCUUGGUGGUUAUGUAUUUGAAGCAUAAUAUUUGAUCCUUUUUUUCCCCGCUUUCUGUUUAAUGUAAUGCAGUUUAAAAAAAAAAAAAAAAAAAAAGUGCCAUUGAACAACUGAUAUAAAUCAACUGUGUAAAACUUUGUGAGGCCUUAAUCUAGGCCUGCUAGCGGGCAAAAUUUUUACACAUUCGUCAUACUAAAGGCAAAGUUUAAGCUAGCGCUUGUCUAUCCCAUGUAUGGAUCAAUAUGGUUUCAUUAGUUGUAAUUAGUUACAUGCCCUUGGAUGAUUUGAAACCAUUAUUGUAGUACACAUGAUGUAGAGCACUUAAAACAUGAUUGAAUCAUGCCACUCAAAAUAGUUGCAGUCUUUACCACCGCCGCCUCUGUUGCCCAACAGAGAAUUAAAUCAGGAAUAAAUACAAAAUUAAACUUCAUAACCACAGAAACAAAGAAAAAAAUCCCAUAUGUUGAAGGCACAAGAGAAGCACCUUCUCCCAAGGUUGUUGCUUGUCCAUGAUGUAAUCAUUUUUGCUGGUUCAUCACACUUGCAAAAUUUUUCUGGUACCAUGAGUUCAAUUCUUGCUUCGAUGGGUAUAGAUUUCUGCCCUAAUUAGGGAAUAGAAAAAUCUUCUCAUUUUUUUGGGUUUAUUGACUAAUCUUGGCUUUUCCAGAUGUUAGUGUGUUUUAACCUCACUAAUAAACAACAAAUAUUGAGGCUUUUCCAGAUGUUAGUGUAUUUUAGUCCCACUAAUAAACAAGAGUUAAAAAGAAAAUGGACUAGUUAAGUUUCGGAUGGUUUUUCUAAUUAAAAAAAAAAAAGAGGAAAAGCUUUUAAGUGUCAGUCAUGUGACUGCACAUGCCAUGAUUCCAUUAAAAAAUUGAAAGAAAUCUCUCAAUUGCUCAAUUUUGCGCAAAAUUGGAUAGAUCGAGGACUAUAUUUACUUUUAUCAAUAGAUUGGGGACUAGUUUCGUGUAUGAAUUAUAAAUUAGGGACCAAAACUGCAAUUAAAGAAUUCUACCCUGCUUGAUAUGGUUCUAAAGGUUGCUCCCUGGAUAGCAAUUUUGCAAGUCUUCCAAAUAAAUGAUUCUAUCUUGAUGUUGUGGUGUAGAACGUGAUGAUAUGGCCUCUGUGAAGCUGGAGUGCAAAAGGAAAUUAAAACGUGUGUUGUGCAAAUGGAAACUGAUGCUUGUGUUCCCAAUGACCUUUGCGUACAAAACUGUUUCGUCCAUGUCUUAGAAGAGGUAGAUGUGUUGAAGCAAGAACUCAUCUCCAGGAUUUGCUUGCGCAAAUUUCUCGCCUGAUUCAUCCACAUUUUUGCUGUUAUUGGAUUGGUUCACACUGAAGAGGGUGCAUAACUGGACAAGUAAGCUUUUCAAAUAUAAUUAAAAAAAUAUAUCUCAAAACACUCCAAAUACAUCUAAAAUACACGUAACAAAAGUACUAAAAAAUAACUAAUAAAAAAUAGUACCACACCCGCCACUGUCAACCUCCAACACCAACCCCUCCACUCU